UUAAUUAAAAACUAGAAAAUACAAGGAUUACAGAAUAAAUUGUAUAAAAGCUAUAUACAACAAUAAAAAAGAAAAUCCAUAUUUUCAAACAUUAAAAUAAACUAAUUAAUUGCAAGUAAUCUGUAAAAAGAAUGAUUAAUUGAAAUCGUGUUUUCUAUAACCAAAUCUGGGGAUUUUGAGGGCACACAAAUCAAAACCAUCUUUAUAAGAAUUUGGGGGAAAAAAUUAUUGAAAUCAAACACGAUUUGAGUUAAAUCAGGCUUCCAAUUGAGUACUAGUUCGGUAUAUAUCGAAAUAAGAAAACACAUAGGGGUAUUAGAUUAUGUAAUAAUAAGAUGAAAAAUAUACAUAUUUAUAUGCAAGAUAUUAAUAUUAUACAUAUAAAUCCAACUCCAAGCAGGGUUGAAAGCCUUUACAUAUUAAUUAUAUAUGUAAUAAAAGCUUAAAGUAUAGUUUAAUUAAUUAUGAUGGAUAAGCAUUAAGCACCAUAACAUAAUAACUCACUCACUGUGGAGAAACAGAAACAGCUUUAUGAUUAGGAGGCAAUGAUUUGGUCCGUUUCAUCCAAGAUGGUGUAGAUGACGAAGAUACCCCUGAACGAUGUAAACGACACCUGAAAGAGCCUUCAUGUGUCGUUGGAGAACAUAGGCACUGUCCUUUGAGAAACGACGCCGCUACAUCGCCGUUUAUACCACUGUCACUUUUGGGUGAUGAUGUUGAAAUGGUUAGCUUAAGUUGAGUUUGAGUUUGAGAUUGAGAAGCCAUGGAUCAAGGAGCUGAAUUAGGACCACAAACUUCGGUUAUAUACAAAAAAACAACACUACAAUAAUGUUUCCAUAUGUAUAUAAUAAUUAUUUAAUAAUGUAGUGUAUUUAAUUUACAUGUAUAAAAUUAUGAUUAAUUAUAUAAAUAAUUAUAAUAAAAUUAAAUAUUAUUAUUAAUGUAACGGUUUUAGUUUUAUUAAUAAUAUAAAAAUAUUUACACUACUAUUAUAUAUAAAUUAAAUUUACAAAAUAUAUGUACAUAGAUACAUGUAUGAAUUAAUCAAUGGAUUGAACUAAAAUUGAUUUAUCUCAAAUGAUUGAUAAGUUUCCAUUAAAAUAUAUGAAUUAAUAAGAGCCAACAGGAUAAGAGCGUGGGCAAAGCCUUCCACGGCAAUGAUGUACCAUUUUCUACCCUAUAAAAUGAUUUUCUUUUAUAGAUAAAUCUCCUUUUAUUUGGUUACUCCCAAUAAGUUUGUUGACAAAAAAAUUAAGUAACUAUUAUUUAAUUGAUAAAAUUAUUUGUCUAAUUUAGGCACUAUCAAUUUUACAACAAUUACACCGCGAACUUUCUUAGUACGUAAUGAAAAAUGACAGUCUUAUAAAUAGUUUAAUUAUUUAUAUUAAAUAAAAUAUUACUAGUUAAUUAUUUAAAAAAAAUCGAGGAAGACAGAAAUUCUUAUUAAUUAAAAAAUACUAAUCAUCAUUUUAAAAUUAUCUUUGUUGAGAUUUGAAAUAAACAGUUAGAUACUAUAAGACUAAAAUUACUACUAAACUAAUAAUUAUAGAUAUAUAUAUUUGUCUCUUUUAAACGUCAUGGAACUCAAUUUUCUUAAAUAUCAUUUUUUNNNNNNNNNNNNNNNNNNNNNNNNNNNNNNNNNNNNNNNNNNNNNNNNNNNNNNNNNNNNNNNNNNNNNNNNNNNNNNNNNNNNNNNNNNNNNNNNNNNNNNNNNNNNNNNNNNNNNNNNNNNNNNNNNNNNNNNNNNNNNNNNNNNNNNNNNNNNNNNNNNNNNNNNNNNNNNNNNNNNNNNNNNNNNNNNNNNNNNNNNNNNNNNNNNNNNNNNNNNNNNNNNNNNNNNNNNNNNNNNNNNNNNNNNNNNNNNNNNNNNNNNNNNNNNNNNNNNNNNNNNNNNNNNNNNNNNNNNNNNNNNNNNNNNNNNNNNNNNNNNNNNNNCGGAAAAAGAAGUGAAAGACAAUAAUAGAUUUUUAUCUUUGCUACCUCAAAUUACUACCUCGUUUUUUAAUUAUUUAGAAGAAAUUAUAGAUAUUAUUAUAAUUAAUUCAUAUAAUUAUUAAAUUUUGAGUUCGCAUAAAAAAUAUAACAUUUAUUCUAACGAUAUCGAUAUUUAUUAUUUUCAUCAUAACGAUAUCGAUAUUUAUCAUUUGACUUAUAAUUUAAGGAUUACCUCGAUCUUUUUAACUCUGAUUUUAAGUUUGUAAACACAAAUUAAUAAUUCUAUUUAAGUUUGCUAUUUAUCAUAAAUAAUUUUUUUUCUCUAUAUUACACUUAAUUAUUUAUUAUCUCAAUCCUCAUAUUCCUCUUUGCAAUAAAUAAGCAGAGAUAAUUUUGAGAUAACAACAUUUAAUACUAAUUUAAAAAUUGAAAACGACAAAUAAAAAUGAAUAAUUUUGUUGUUGUUGAAAAAACGACAAUUAAAAAAGAACAUAAGGAGAAUAUUAAUAAGUGAUCUAUUAUAGAUAAAUAAGUGCUUAAAAGUUAUCUCAAAUUCUAACAAUAAUAUUUUUUAGAAUUAUAACUUAAUGGUUUUUUUUUUGUCUGUAUAUUUAAAAUAAUUAUUUGAUCGAUGCCAAUUCAAAUAGUUGAUGUACAUCUCAUAAAUUUUGUCAAUAAUUAACUAAAUUACUUAACAAAAAAUAUAUUCAAUGAUUAAAUUAAUCAACUAAAAAUACAUUUAAAAAUCAAAUGACUAAAAAAAACAUUUAUACAUGUUUUUGUAAUUUUAAUAUAUUUUAAGAAUAUAUUAUAAGAAUCUUUUAAAAAACUAUUAUAAGAUCACUCACACGUUUAACUAAAGAAAAAAAAAUCAAAAUGAAGUCACUUUCGUGGAAUAUAUGAGAUGGGUCGGACGCUGCUCUAUGUUGAGUCUGAAAGUAGAUAACAAGUCACGAAAUUAACAAUCAGACAAACUUGAUUAGUAAGACACCAAUACCAUAUUAACCCAAUUUUAAUUAAAGUUGCUAUAGAAGGCUACCCAACACAACUCCAUUUGCUACUGGGUAGGGUUAGAAAAACAUAAUACACUUAUUUCGACCCAAACUGAAUUCGAGUUGAGUUGACACACUUUGAUGUGAUUUCUUUUUUAAAUUAUUUUAAUUACUUUUAUAAAAUAAUAUUACAUCUAAUAUUUUAAUAGGAGACAAAUAGUUCAAAAUGAGUAAAUAAAAAUUAAUAUAUUUAAUAUAUAAUAUGAAUUAAAUAUAUUUAAGUUUUGUUGAUUAAUUUUUAUUUCAUGAGGAAAUAUAUGAUUUCAUAUAUUUUAUUGUUUUUUUCCAAAUUAUUUAUACUUUUUUAUUUUAUUUUUAAUCUUAAAAAAAUGACUCCCUGUCAAAAAAGUAUUAAAAUAAAUAACUCAAUCCACUUAUCCAUCAACUCUUGUUGGGUUGAAUCAUAUUACUCUUAAUUUUAGGAAAUUAAGACCCAAAAAAUAUUAACAUAACAAUUAAUUAUUAACUUUGAUAGUUUUAAAAAAUAUAUUAAAGUUAUAAACAAAGAGGAAUAGUCAAUGGUUAAGAUUUUGUCUGCGAGUUUGCAGAAAAAUUGAAGAGAUGUCUUUAAAAUUUAGGAAGGAAUAAAUAAAAGGAAUGAAGAGCUCUAAGAAGAGAUAGUUUUGAACCUUUUGUGUUUAUUUAUAAUACAAAAUCUUCUCUUAUUUUGCUAAAUUUAAAAAUUGUAUUGAAGGAAGAUUUUGAAAGAGUCAGACAAAUAAUUCAUACAAUUUUUUAUAUUAUUAUAAUACUCUAUAAAUUAAAAGGAUAUUAAUUAUAAACAUCUUCUUAUCAUUCUCUACAUAUUCAUUCUCUACAAAAUUUAUAUUAUUAUUUUUCCUCUCCCUCAGAAGUCUUCCCUUCCGUUCGCUUUUAAAUUCAUAAACAAAGCUUAAAAAAAACUUUCAACCAUCUUGUUUGAUGUGCGCGAGACUUACGAAAAAUGUGAAUUAAAUUGGAUUGGCUAUUGAUCAAUCUAUUGAUAUGAGUGGAAUUUGAUUAACAUUAAUUGUUAUAUUAAUUUUACGGUAGACCUACUUAAUAUUAUUCUAUUUAUUGAUAAAUGUGUAACAACUAAAUUGAUUUAUGAUUAUAGAUAAUGGAAAAGACCCAAAUAUCUUUCAUCUAUUAAUUGAGUUUUGGUUUUGGUAGGAGUAAUUUCCAAAUAAAUAAGUUCAUAGGAACUUUAAUGUAAGUGAAAUUACAAAAAUAUCCUCAAUAAAAAUAAAAAUUCCACAUCUUAUCCUCAACUUGUGACAUCUCCGAUGUCUCUCUCACUCCCGUGGAGCUACCAACUAUAUUUGUAAAUUAAUUUGGCCUUAUUGGCUUUGGCUUGGUGUGUGUCGCCGUGAAAGUUGAGUUUGUAAGCCUAAUUGGACUUAUAUAUCAAAAUGUUAAAAAUUUAAAUAUGUUAUUUUAAUUUUUAUUAAAUUAAUAGUAAAAAUAAUUAUUUCAAAAUUUUAUCUCACUAAAAUUUUCGAUAAGUAAUUUUUUUCUUCUAAAUAAUCGGUAAAGACUUUAUAAUUAUCGAAAAUUUACUCUUUACAAUGUUUGGUGGUUGUAUUUGUUUAUCCAAAAUUUUAAGACAUAAUUUACUGUAGUAGAAAUUAUUUACUAGAAAUUUUGCCAAUAAAAUUUUCGGAACAUUAUUUAUACUAUCAGAAAUUUUGUGCCUUGAAAUUUUCAGUAGUUAAUUUUAUUCUACCGAAAAUUUCAAAUUUUAAAAUUUUUGGUAUGUACUAUUUUUUUUUUAAACUUUUUUUUUUGGAAUUUUUUAAUUAUUAUUUUUUGAAAUAGGGAUGAAAAAAACACCAUUAUGUAUAUAUUUAAUUAAAGCAUUCACAACUGAUCAAAUUUUUGAGUCACGAGAAGUUGUCGUAUCAUGGACAAGAGAGGUUGACCGACAAAAUCGAGUAGUUGUUAUCAUUAUUCGCUCUGACAAAGAGAUCGGAAAGAGAUGAAGGAACUCAAUGACUUCAACUAAAAUAUGUGGUUGUCCGUUAAAACUUACAUCGAGAAAUUAAAAAAUGAUGAGUGAUAGAUUAUUAGUUUAAUAUGUAGACUUCACAAUCAGGAUCAUGUUGCUCAAACUAAGACUAAAUAUUAUAAUUCUUCAGUUGUUGCAUCUCUUUGUUUCUCUUUUUACUUUUCUCAGCGGUAGCUCUUCUAUUAGAUUGUGUAGGAGGUUGAAUUCGAUAAUGUUCAACGGUAUUUUUCACUCGUAUGGUACUCAUCGAAAAUAUAUUGAAUAUGAAAUAAAUAUAAAAAAACUUAAAAACAAAAAAUGUGCCAAAAAUUUCAUGGAGUUCCACUUGAAGUUUGAAAUUUCCGAUAGUUAUUUUUCAAUAUCGGAAAUUUGAAAUUUUCGUAUUAAAAAAUAACUACCAGAAAUUUCAAAUUUCGGUUAAAACUACUAGAAAUUUCAAAAGUGAAAUUUUGGAUAUUGAAAAAUAACUACUGAAUAUUUUGUUCUUGAAAUUUCUAGCAAGAGAUUUUAUGAGGAAAAAAUUUACUUGUUCCAGAAAAUUCAGAUUGUGUAUACCAUCAAGUAUUUUUUUUUUGUUUUUACCAUAUGUCUCUGUCUCUCCCGCAUGUGCAGUUCUUCUCCCUUUUUAGUGUUUGCCAACACAAAAACACAAAACAACGCUCUUCUACAAGUAAACUCGAGCUAUAAAUGAUUGUGAAGGAUCAAUAUAUGAAUUUUGGAAUUGAAGAAGAUUUGAUUGCAAAGGUGUUCUCGUUUUAAAAUUAUAUAUCAAUGUCAGGAUAUAGUAUUAUUUUAGAGUUGAAAUAUUUUUAAAUAUAGAGUUGACUAUCAGAUUUAGUGACUAAACAAUGAACUUGUUAACUCUAAGCAUUGCUUUGACAUCUUUAGAUAGUUAUAAAGCUUUAAACAUUAUUAAUAUCCACACUCUAUUUGAAAAAUAUCACCUCGUGUAUUUCAACGUAGAAGAUUAAUUUUCAAUUCAAUUAUGACAUUUCAUUAUUGAUGUUCGUCAAGAAUCAAAUUUAAAGAGUUUAUCAACUACACAACAAUUGUGUUUGUGUUUGAUUCAACAAAAAUUUGAAGAUUACUCUGCCUUCCCGCAACUCAUUAUAUUUCUAUGACUACAAUAUAUAAAUUUUUUUCAACAAUGAAAAUUAUCAAGACUUAGUUGACAAACAAGAUAGAAGUUGAGUUUCUAGAAGAUAGCAUAUCGGUUUUAAUAUUGGUACAAAUAAUAAAUAUGAGUCCUUUGUUGAUGAUUAAGUCAUUUAAAAACCAUAAAACAUUACUUUUGAAAUAUGUUUAAAUCAUGUAGUUUAAUCAUUUGAUAAUCAACUUUUUGCAUAUAUUACAACUUAAAUUUUAGAUAUACUGUGUGAUUUAUAUAUUUGAUUUAUACUUUAUUAUGACAUCUCCAAGCUUUUUCGUCAAGUUCUCUCAGUAUGUGAUUUACUCUAUGUUUACUUAACAGUUAGUAGUAUUUAUAUGUACAUUUAAAUAAUAAAAAAUAAAAUAAUAAUAAUAAUAAUAAUAUAAUAUAAUAUAACGUUAAGGGUAAAAUUCAAUAAUUUCUAAUCAAAUGUUUUUUUUACUCAUCUCUAAUCAAAUGCUAUUGUUUCGUUUUAUUGUUAUAAUUAUAUUCAUCUAACUAUUUGUUUUAUUUGUAUAUUAUAAUUUUGUGUUUUUGUCUAUACUUGUUUCUAGUUGUUAGAACAUGUUGUCGUUUAGUUGACUAGUUGUUUGCAAAUGUUUCAUAGAAAAUAACAUUUUGGCCAUCUAAAACGAAAAAUAAAUAAAUUCAAAUUAAUACUGAAUCUAAAAAAAUGGUUUUGAUAAAGAUCCUAAAAUAUUAUUGAGAAUGAUGAAUAUCCACGUUCUUUUAAACUCAAAAGCUGAUAAUUUGGAUAAUGGAAAACUUAAUAGGAAUAUUGAACAGUAAGAUAUUUUGAUUCAAAACAAUCAAAAUGAAAAUUACUAUCAUGAAGAAGCUGAAUAUUUUGAUGAUGCAUGUCUUAAUAUGCAUAUUUUAAUGAUUGAUUGCAUAUUUUCGAAAUGCUAAAAAGAACAUGAACCAAGUGGUGUAGUGUAGACUUGACUUUCCUGACUAAAUGAGUUGACAUACAAGUAAAAUUUCAAAAAUAUAUGACAAUUGAUAAACAUCUUCAAAACCUUACAAAAAAAUAAAAAGAAACACUAAAAAAAUGUUUUAAUUAGUAUAAUUUCUAUUGUUAGAUAUUUUGUUGAACAUGUUUGAAAUUGAAUAUUUUUCUAAAUAGAAAUUGUUAAAAUCUCAUUUGUGAUAUAUACCAUUUAACAAAAUAGGUUAGAUCAAUUCAAAUAUUUUCAAGGGCAACGUUUAUUUUUCCAUCCAGAGCACCUGAAAUUCCAUGAUAGGCUUUGUGUGUGUAUAUAUCUAAAUAUGGAUAAUGAUAAUUAAACAUACUUUCUAACACACUUUUUUUGAUUAAUUAAAAUAUACAUCGGUCCCACUAAAUUUAUAUAGCACCCACAUGUUUUGGUGAAAGCUAUGUAAAUUUUAACCAAUCAAAUAAAGUCACUGUUAAAGAGUGUGUCGUUAGCACUCAUCAUCUAUAUAUAUAUAUAUAUAUAUAUAUAUUAGUGUGUGUGUGUAUGCAUACACUGUAUAUCUAUCUAUCUUUGACAUAUAUCAGUUAGGUCCGAAGUAACUUUUAAGAAGGCAUCACGCAAAAUAAAACAACAUGCAAGGCAAUUGAUAAUAAUAUCAACAAAAUAUAUACAUAGCAGUUUACUUACCAGUCAAACUAACAAACUACCAUUCUUCUACGAUUUCAACAAAAUGUUAUUUCAUUUCUCAAACUUUUUGCAUAUCAUAGUCUUGGCUUCUCUUUUCAGUCUCUGAAAAACCUUUUUUCAUUGAACAGCGAAGCUAUGGCAAGGAAUAAGAGUUUACAAGCCAAACUGGUGGGUAUGUCUUCCUUUUUUUAUUUGGUAAAAUAAGGAUCAACUCCUUUAAUGAAUUGAAAUAGCUCCUAUUUGGCAUAUUAGGCAUUAAGCCAGAAUAACAUAUUACACAUACCAUGAAAUGAGAAGCAAAUAGCUUGUAUAAGUAAUUUAAGGACAAAUAAUUUCUUCUGUAGAAAUUUAUGUUGGAUUCUAAGUAAACAUAUUUGAUUAAUUAUGUGAUAUGAGCAAUUGUUUAAUGUUAGCAUAAUAGCUUGUGUACUGUUUUAAUUUGCUAACUAAAUGAUUAUGUCUAUUCAUUAAUCAGCCUAAGCUCCUAUAUUAUUUUGCGAAUUAGUUUCAAAUAUGAUCAAAAGUGCAUAUUUAAUUAGCAGAAAAUAUUUAUCCAAGUUGUUAAAAUUAUGUAUGACUUUGUAGGUACUUCUGGGGGACAUGGGAACUGGGAAGACGAGUUUGGUUCUUAGAUUUGUCAAAGGUCAAUUUUCGGAUUACCAGGUUGCUGCCUAUGAUUGUGAUAUUUUCUUUAAAAUUCUUCACAUCAUUAUAGAUAAUUCAAAUUAUAUUAGCAUAAAUGAAUGUGUGUAGGAAUCGACAAUUGGAGCAGCAUUUUUUACUCAGGUUUUGUCAUUAAAUGAAGCAACUGUGAAAUUUGAUAUAUGGGACACAGCAGGGCAGGAACGAUACCACAGUUUGGCUCCUAUGUAUUAUAUUUUCGGAUUACCAGGUUGCUGCCUAUGAUUGUGAUAUUUUCUUUAAAAUUCUUCACAUCAUUAUAGAUAAUUCAAAUUAUAUUAGCAUAAAUGAAUGUGUGUAGGAAUCGACAAUUGGAGCAGCAUUUUUUACUCAGGUUUUGUCAUUAAAUGAAGCAACUGUGAAAUUUGAUAUAUGGGACACAGCAGGGCAGGAACGAUACCACAGUUUGGCUCCUAUGUAUUACCGCGGUGUAUAUGACAUUACAAGCAUGGUAACUAAAUAUCGAUUAUCAUAUAGCCUGCGAUGAUUAAUCAUUUGAAAUAUGAACUUUGAAGCAAAUUAUUUUCAUUCACAUGACCUGUCAUGAAGUCGUUCAAUGAAAAUAACAUUUGAAAUAUGAACUUUGAAGCAAAUGAUUUUCAUUCACAUGACCUGUCACAAAGUCGUUCAAUGAAGAUAUCAUUGAUAAUUGAUUUUCAUGGAUGAUAUAGAAUAGAAAAUGUGUAAUGUUACUCAUAUUGUAUCUGCGCUUCAAUAAUUUUUCCAUCAGAAAAUAUCAUAAAAAGUGACCCCGUAUCACAUCAAAGGAAAUAAAUGGUGCAUUUUGUGUCUCAGGAUUCUUUUGUACGGGCAAAGAAGUGGGUUAGAGAAGUGCUAAGACAAGGUAACAGAAUAGUCAAAAAGUAAAUAUCUUGUGAACAAACUAGAGAAACAUUAAAGUAAAUUAUUUGGUUCUAAAACUUAUGAUGGUGCAGUAUGUUUGGCUAGAGUGGGAUAAAAUUUGGCUGAAAGCAAAGCAUAGGCUGAAAUGUCUUUAAUAUAUAUAAUCAUGAGAAAGAUUGUCACAAAUUUACAUUAUUAUGAAUACUAAUUUGGCAGUUUACUUAAUUUGAUAAACCAUGUCAGCAAAUCCAAAUUUGAUCAUAUUUUUGGUGGCAAACAAGGCUGAUUUGGAAGAACAGAGAAAAGUAGGAAAUGAGGUAUUAUUUCUUGUAAAUUGUUGUCUCAACAUUAUAACUUUGCUUAUUUUAUAAUUUUCAGAGGUCUUAUCCUCUUCUCAGGAACAUAGACAGCUAAAAAUUUGUUUUGAUGCUAUCAUCUUUCAUAUGAUGGUUAUAGGAGGGGGAGGAGUAUGCUAAAGAAAAUGGCAUGUCUUUCUUUGAAACUUCAGCGAAAACCGCACAGAAUGUCAAUGAGCUCUUCUAUGAAAUAGGUAAAACAAUAAUUUAACAUCCACCAUCUUAAAUAUUUUGGCAAAGAAGCAGUGUCUCACAAUACAUGUUUUAAGAACAUAUACAUUUGACUUUUGGCUGAGACAUGAUUUUUUCCAAUUGUAUGUUCUGAAGUUCUGGCCAUUUGUUAUGUUAAAGGAGACCAACAUUGAGAAGGUGAAAACAAGAGGCAGUUUUGCAAUUGAAAGUAAAUAUAAGAAAUAAAAAAAAAUAAUCUUAAACCAAACAUACCUUUAUAAAUGAGUUUUACCCAAUAGAUCUUCAGGGGGAAAUUUCUUUCUUCCUCUUGCUGCACUAAUCGCCUCUGCAAAUUCUUCUGGUUGUGAAAUUCUAGACCUUGACAUCUGAAUAUGGUGACCCUAAUGACUUAAUGCUCAUAUUAAGAUUCUUAUAUCCUAACUUACUGAAACAAAUAUUUUGCAGCUAAGAGAUUGGCAAAAGCCAACCCUGCACGUCAGACUGGAAUCAAGCUGCAUGGCAGCACACGAGAAACUGGAAGAAGCCGGUUUUGUUGUUCUUAAGCUUAAUGGCAUGUCCUAAUCUUUUGUAAGAUAUGUGCUAUAUAUUGUACUCAAACUCACUCAAAAAGAAGAUAUGUUUGUUCAGUGUACAUUGUAAGAUCUCAUGCCCAAGAACUUUUCAUUUUAAGCUCUCACAUGCAAAGCUUUUUUUUUAAGCUCUCACAUGCAAAGCUUUUUUUUUUAAGCUCUAAACUUGUUGGUCUACUAAGGUUUCUAACUUAGCGUUCUUUAAUUAAAAUUGUAAACAUUUUAAUAUUGUAACACUGCAUGCUUGCUCUUGAUCUUAGUUUAGAGACUAGUUUACAAAUGCUUAAAAGAAUAUGUGAAGCCCUAAUAUGAAAAUUUAUAAAUAAAAUUAAAGGAUUAUUAUGUGAAGCCCUAAUCUAGCUUGUUAGAGAAGAUUGAUACAUGAAGAAUGAAAAGACUUCAUUCAAUGAGAGCAAGAGAGACAUUUUGAUGAAACAACUCAAACAAAGCAAAUUAUGAAUGCUUGAGAAAGCAGGUCUGCUCAAUCAAAAUCUAGAAGUUGCUGUCUAGAAUCACAGAGCUGUUGCUAUAAGAUGAGUUAGCUGAUAUUUAUCAGAACCUGAGAAACUUUUUUGCAAAAUUGUUCUACAAUUUCCAAAAUAAUUUUACCAUUUAAAAACCCCCUGCAAAGUUCAAAUGGGGAAUAUCAAAAAUAAUAAUAAUAACAGCAGCAUCAAUGGGAGAAGGAAAACAAAAUAUUCUUCACAAGACGAGAAAUAUGCUUUUUGAAUUUGUCCUUUUAGAGAUGGAAUGGGAACUGCAACACUAUUUCCUUCCUCUAUAAAAUUACAGCUGCUCGGAAGAAAAACAGAAGAGAAGCCUGGUUAAAAUGAAAAGCAAGAAGAAAGGAAGAGAUUCAUAUGUGCUUUCAUUGGAGUGUGAUCUUUUAAUUUUAUGUAGAGCUUAUAUUUGUAUAUCUGUUUAGAGCUACACUAUUUUGUUCUAAAAUCUGUGAGGAUGAAUUGUUGCUAGCCAGCUGGAGAGGCUGGAGUUGAAGAAAAUAAAACUACUUGCUUUGCUGUUAUUAGCUUAGAGAAGCUAAAGUUGAAAAAAAACUUCCUAUCAUGGUUUUGACGAAAAAUAUACAUAACUAGCUGAGAGAGACUAGGUGGAUCAUAUAACACUUGGGGUUUGACAGUGGAGAAUCUCAUGUCAUGUUCAGCUGUAUCAAGCCAAUCAAAACGCCACAUUGGAUAUUAAACAAGUGUAGAAAUCACUUGAACACCAUCUUUUUCAACAAGGCCAAUCAAACAAUAAUUCGACAUUAUUUGUACAAAUUAUACAACUAUAAAAUAAUAUAUUUUAAUACACUAAUAACAUUGUACACAGGGGGGAGGAGGGGAUUAGGGUUGAGCAAAAGCUCUGAAACAAUAGCGCCCAUCUCAAUAUCCUUUCAGCCUCAACUCAAAGAGAGUAAGCAUAUCGUCAAUUUGUGUUACAACUUACAGCUACUUUUACAACAAUUCGAAGAAAAAAAAUGAAUUGAUACCGCGGGUAUCCUAUAGUAGCGUCAGAUUGUCAACCAACACAGAUAAGACCACCCUAUGAAUAUGAUGACUUAGUACAGGCCCAAAGAAGUAAACAGUUUGCAACAAAAGAACCACCUGGUGUAUAUUAGAUUGAAGUGAGAUCAUCAUAAUGAAUGCAAUCAAGCAUAUGAGGGAGGAGUAUUUAUUCAAUUUGUUACUGUCAUUUACCUUAUAUUCCUCUCAAGGCAGCAAGCCUAGUUGCUAAAUCAUCAUAGUCAGGCAAGUUGGGAUGCACAUGCCGAGCUUCGUGCGAUCUAUCUGGCUGAAAUGAAGCAGCACGAAGAAAUUCUUUCUUAGCUUCUACUACUCUAGUUUGUUCACGCGGAAGGGAAACUGAUCGUAGGGCAAGAGUAACAAUCUCUGGUGUCUCAUCAGACCCAUCUCCACUUCCAUUCUGCAGUUGCUCUCUCUUUGAAUUAUCCAUUUUAUGUGCAUGGUGACUUUUUGACUUAUUUCGUACUCGUUCAGGCACUAUACUUGAAGGUUUUUUACUAUAAUGAAUCAGUAAUUUAUCUAUUAUUUUUUCCUCUGCAGCAUUUUGAUGCUGCUCAUCAUCAAACAAAUUUUGCAGACCACGUCUUGAUUCAGCUCGUCUCCUACUUCUGCUCCUUGCUUUUCUCGCAAGUUCAGUAUCUGCAUUAGGGGAAUCGUAGUGACUAGAUCGUGAUCUCGAGUGCUUUCGCCUUGUAGAUUUUGGUUUUACCAUAGGGAUUUCUUUAGCAUCUUCACAAAAAUAUAAUUCCUUUUUAUGACUCUGUUUCAUCAGUUUCUCGUGUCUACUGGCCUGCCAAUCCAGGUCAGAAUUAUCCAAACCUAUUCGGAUCCUCUCUGACAUAGAUGCAGCAUCAGAGUUCUCAUGAACUGAAGGACAUGUAAAGAAGCCGUCGCUGUCAGUAUGUGAAGAUACUACAUUGACUCCAUGUGAUUUGUUCUGAUGCUUAGAUAUAUGUUUAACAUACGGAGGUGGAAUGGCCUUACUAUAGCAAGGCUUUAGCAUACGCUUUUCAUCAUUUUGAACUGUUCUCUCAGGUUUAUCAGUAUCUGGCGUGCCAAGAAGAUUAACAACACAUGGCUCCUUCACACUACUCCUGAAACGUGAUCCUAUUCUACUAGCAGUUGUAGUGUCCUGGCUUAUUCUUGGUGGGGUUGGACUCCCCCAACUGUUGGGCAGCUUGCAACCACCUUCAAACUGUUCCAUAGUUUUCUCAUGAAAUGAAUGUCCAUUUGGUUUUACCAUAUUAUCAUCCUUCCAAUAGCUUCUAUCACUCUUUGUAGCAGUAUCCUCUAACAUUCCUGUUAAUGAAUUAUCAUUGCCAUCCUUUUUCCCAAGGACUUCACGACCAUUUAGUGGCUUGAAUCCAUUUUCAGGGACUGUGGAUUUAUAAUGAAGAUCAUGAUCAUCUCUGUUUAGGAUAACAGCUUCCUUGCCAUUCUCCAACAAAACAUCAUUCUUUACAUCUUUCUGGUUACCAUUCUUGCUGAGUGAUGAUAUAUGAUUAUCAAACAAAUUGUUACACAUACUAGCACUCUGGCCCUGUUUAUUACAAGUUAUAACAAUUUCAGGUACGUUCUUAAAAUUUUAGCUAAGUAUUCGAUCUUACAUUGAAGCUGGUAAAAAAUGAAAAGGAAUACAGAAAAAUGCACCUGUGCAAAUGCAGAGGAUCUUGACAUCCUUAGUUCGAAAGCCUUGGAGUCCCAAUUUAUUGAGAACUCUGAUGCAAUUUCCUGCAUCAAGCAGACUUUCCUUUCCAAUGUAGAAGACUUAAUAUUCAAAUUUGCAGCAAACUGGUAAUUAGCAAUUUAGUCAGUGAGUGCUAGAAACCAGGAGAAGUCAUAGAUAAUGUAAAGUUCUAAUAAAAUAAAAACACCAAUAGUCACCUCUGGAUUGACAAAACACUCUAAGGAACUCCCAUAUCUCUCCUGAAAUAUUUGCCUAAGGUCACGUAACUCUGGUAAAUCGGAAAAUCUUGCAGCAGCAAACAUCAAAGAUGAUACUGCCACUCUGCAUUCCUCAGGGCAGCCACUGUAAAAGAAAUGGAACCAGUUAUAUAAAUAUUCUAACUUCAGAUUUUUAAGGAAUAAUAUAAAAGGGCAACCUACUCAUUAUAAUAUUGGGAUAUCUGUAUAUAUCGUAUGGGUGUUCACAACUAAUUCAUAUCUGUCAGCUGAAAAUAAUUGGACGACUAUAUUAAAAUGUAUUUUUGGUCUCUGUAUAUUGUGACAUUAAUUUUCAAUCUGGUCAAAUACCAAAAUGGUUUUUAAUUUAGUCUAUAUACAUCCAAUUGUUUGUUUUCAUUUUGGUCCUUGUUAUCUCUUGAUGUUAUAAUACAAUUUAUUGAAGUUAAAGCAGAGUUAACUUUAUGAACCAAAUUGAAAAUGAUUGUCACAAAGUUACUUCAUAUCUCUAAAGACAUUCUCAACCUGACCCUUGCACUUCACUGUAUGUCUACACCAGUCUCACAAAGUUGACCAACAACAGUGAUAAUGAUGACAUUCAAAUAAUCAACAUGGCGGAUAUAAAGAUUAAACUGAACUCUUUUUUGUACAGGAAAAAUUGAACAUAGGUGUCAUUUAUAAUAAUAAAAAAUGUAAAAGAAAACAUGAAGCUCAACAUAAGAACUCCAAAAAACCUUUGUUCAAAUGUGCCUCCUCCCACGGCUACAACUACAACAUAAACUGAAUAUCUCAAUUAUCAAUUUAUUCUGACCAGUUUAUCACAGUCACACCAAAAUUACUAUUACAAGAUGGAUGUGGCCAACAAGCUUUGUUUAGCGACAUGCAUGUAAACUGAUACAUUACAGUGCUGCCUGUGAGUAAUGUUGGUAACCAUUAAAGCGGUUUCUCUUUCACAAAUUAUGGCAGCAUCCUUGACAGAAGGAUCAAAAUUUUUUCCCCUAAAAAUUAUGGAAUUUCUACAAUUAUAUCAUGUCUGUUAAUGAUAAUAUUGGAAGAAAUAACAUAAAGCAUAGGUAUCAUCAAUUAUCCAAAUUCCACACGCAGUAAAGUCUAUUCUUGGCAUGAGCACUAACAUAACUAUGUGGCUAAACAUAAGCAUAGCUCUGAUGUCAAACAUAGCAUUUUAUAUGCAUAACUCUGAUGUUAAAUGAAAAUUUAGAAGACAAAAACAUAAAAAUAAAGAAACGACAUGAAUAUAAUCUAAACAGAAACUAAUUACCUUAACUUCUGCAUCACUGAGAGAUGCUUCAACACAAGCUCACAUGAUUUCUCCACAAAACCAUAACAAGAUGACAGUGUCAACUCAACCAAGAGUCCUUCAGCCUGUUAAUUUGACCACAUUGCAAACAAAAUAAGACUUAAUUGAGAUAAUUCCAAAAAAAAAAAAAAAAAAAAUACAUUACUCCCUCCGUAUUAUAAUAAUUGUCCAAUUGGCAAGAAAAAUUUGUCUCAAAAUAGUUGUCGUUUUUUGUUUCCAAUGCAACUUUAAUUUCUUUUGACCAAUUCUACCCACUAAUUAAUAUUAUAUGCAUCACUCCCAAUUUAUUAUCUCUCAGCUUUGCAUUUAUGAUAAUUUGAAUCAACCAAUGGUUUAUAGUGAUAAUUUGUUAAAAUUAUUUUUUCUCUCUUUCAUUUAUCAUAUUUCUUAAUAUGUGAAAUGGUCAAAUGCACAAUUAUUUUAAUAUUGAGGUUAUACAAUUAAAACUAAAAAGUCUCAAAUAAGCCAUCAUCCAUCGAAAACUAUCUUAGCCAACACUAUUUUCACUCUAAGGCACAACCUCACAAUUUACCACAUGGUGAAUAAUCAAAUUAACUUAACCUAAUCCAGAAACUGCACAAAACAAAAGCACAUAAGGAAGAAAAAUAAAAAAAACUACCCUUCCAUAUGCAUUGAUAUCUAGACCACUGUGGAGAAGAUCAGCGAUAUCUUUCUUGAGAAACUUCUCUGUCGCUCUUCUCUUUCUCCUUAUCACUUCAAUCCGAUUCUUGGUCAAUUUGACGUACGAUUUGCUGAAAAACAAUAACAGAACAAGAGAAAGCUUAUAUAUCAUAUAAAAUAGCAGCAUAACCACACUCUCAAUUUCCUUUCCUCCAUGAACAAACAAAUAAAAAGAAAGGGAAACCACAGAGCGAACCAUUUUGCGGCGAAGGUUCUGCCGAGUAUUCCCUCCAACAUGAUGGAAAAUCUCGACUCAAAAUGUUUGACUCAGUGAGUUAUUUGACUCGGAAACUCAAAUUUCGAUAUUUGCUCUUGACAUUUGACGAAGCUUCGUCAGAGAGUAGCAGUGACUUACGAAGCACUGUGUUGCAGAAGAAGAAGAAGAAGAAGAAGAAGAAGAAGAAGAAGAGAGAAAAUGUAAUUAAAAAAAUAUUUCUAAAUUGAGAAAAAGGAUAUUUGUGAAUGUGUUUGCUUGGACGAUAAUAACCUUUGGUUGUAUAUCAGUUAAGUCGACGUGAGGAGAACGUUGGAGGGGUAUUUUGGGUAAUUAGUGGAUGGCAUCAUGGUAAAGGAAAUAAUAUAGUGGGUGGUAGCUAUUCUGUGGGGACAACAAGCUAGGCGACGGGUAAUAAGAGCCGUUGUGCUGUGUCUUUUUCUAUUUUUAUUUUCGUUCGUUUUCUUUUAUGAUUUUUGUUUUCAAAUGGAUGCCCUCCACCAUCUUCUACAAAGAUACAGAGGAAAAAAUAUUAAAGAGAGAGAGAGGAUUUAAAUUUCAUUUUCAUUUGUUUUUUCUAUUUAUUCAAAUGAAUGACUACCAUACUCACCUUUCUUAUAAAAAAAAUGCAUUAGGGUAAUUACAGUUUUUAUGUAUAAAAAAAAACUAGUGAAUUAUAUCUUGGGAGUUCACUAUAAAUGGGGAAAGUUUUUAAUGUUGUGAAUCUUUUAUGGAUUAUGUAUUGGUCAUGUUCUCGCAUAUGUAUUAAUGUUUAAAUUAAUUUAUUAGGAUCAUCAACCUUCAUUGAAAAUCAUGUUAUAUUUUAAAAUAAUUAAUAACAAUAUGUUGUGAUUUAAAAUUGAGGAUGGAAUUCGAAAAUAAAUUAUUAAAAGAUAAAUUUGUUGAAAAUAGGCAUAGUAUUUUUUUCAGAAAAAAACCUUAAUGUCUAAUUAAUGUUACUCACAAGAUACACAACUUAUGAUUAUCUAAAUCUUUCCUAAAGUAUAUCUGAUCUAUUUAAUAAGGGUUCAGAGAUUUAAUUUUACUAACGGUGUAAAAACUCUACAAUAGGUGAUAAUAUAUAAUUAAUUUUGUAAUUGUUCUUUUAAGUAUUAAGACUUUUAAGACUCAAUUAAUUUAAACUUUACAAAUACCGUAAACUAUCUAUUUUUACUAGAUUAUCGGUGUAUUAUUUGUCCGCCCAAUUUAAGACAAACAAACAAAAAAUUAUAUUAAAAUUGUCAAUCUUUUAUUUCUUUAAUUUAUUAAUUUAUUAAUUUAGUGAUAAAAAUUGAAAAUUGUCAUUACGAAGAUUAAUGUAAUAAUCUUUUUGCGAGUACAUUAAUGUAAUAUAUUAUAAUAUUGAAUGAUCAAUAGUCCCUCCUAAAUGAUAAUAUAUCCGAUAAUAGUAUAUCUUGGAAUAACAAUUAUUCUUGUAUAAUUUAAUUUAAAUUAAUUUUAAUACAAACUAUAUUUUAUGGAAAAUCCAUCCUUUCAUUUCUCGUAUUCUAAAGCUCUUUCCAUCGUGAUCUAUGGCAAGCUACAAAUUGUAACUUCACAUACAUCCAAAAUAUUUUCACAAGCCGAAUUUGAAGAUAAUGACACUACAAAUGGGACAUGUAUUGACAUACUCAUUUUAUAAGAUUUUUAGGCUGCACAGUACUUAUGUAAUUCAACACCUCAAUAGCUAAUAGCUAAUAUAUAUUUGGAAGCAGGAGAUAAAUCUGUUCAACAUUUUAGAUUAGAAUUAGGAAGGAAUUUUCUCCAUUUCCAACAUGACACCUGAUGUACACAUAAAAAAAAACAAAACAUAAUGUGUGUAUUGUCUGUUCUAGAGUUACAUUUUUGAACAAAUUAGAUUAUUGAGAAACACACUUCUAAAAACAUGUGUAAUUUUUUUUAGUGUAUUUGCAAGUUGAUUUUUAGAGAGAAUUUUGAAUAAUUAAAUAUAUAUUUUAAUAUAUUUAAUAUUUAAAAAAAAAAACAUAAUAUUAUAUAUUUAUUAAUCGUAUUAUUCUUUUAAGUUUUUUAAAUAUAAAAUAUAGAUUUAAUCCAUUUAAUCAUUUCAAAAUUGAAGACACCUAGGGUGAGAAAAGUUGCUAAAAGAAAUAUUCAUCCACAUUUGUACGAUAAGGUUUAAAAAAAAAAUACACAACAAAGAGGCUCACUAGACAUUCCGCAGAUUGGGCAAAUAAAAGUCUACAAAAUAUAGAAAAGAAAAACCUUUUAUAUCUGACCAGCACCAUUCACAAAAGAAUCUUGAAAAAUAUAUCUACUUUUUCAAAAAGCUAAACAAUUUGUAAAAUAAAAUAAAAUAUAUUCCAAACUUUGAUUGUGCAUGUCAAAUUGUUUCAUUGAUCAACAAAACACUUGAGCAAAAUAAAUUAAAGUUAUAGACACACCAAACAGUUAUAACCAACAAUACAAAGAAGAAUUAAGAAUAAUCCAAAAAACAUUACAUGAUAGCAUAAGAAAUUACAAAUUAAGACCUCAAUGGUUUCUCAUGAUCGAGAACCAAAAAACUCAGAGUACAUUUCCAUGAAGAAUUUAUCUACAAUUUCAAGAUAUGCAGGAGAAGUGAGUCUAGAAUAGUAAUGAAGAACCUCUUCAAUGUCUAGUAUAUAAUCCACAUUACUCAUUUCCAUCAUCUCCAAUUCUUUAAGCUUCUUUUCCAUCAUACUCUUACAUUUCAACAUUGAUGAUGAAUCUUGUUUCUUACCCUUUUGAUGAAUUAAUCUCCUCUUAUUCCUUUGAUCCUCCUCAAUUUCCUCUCUUUUCUCCAUCUCAUUCUUCAAACCAACCAAGUUAUGUAUCUUCUCUUCUUGUUUUUCUGAUGAUGAUGGUAGCACAAUUUUCUUCUUGUUUCUUUUUCUUGAUUUUCCUUUUUCUGAAUCACAUUUCUCAGUGAAGUCCUUGUAGAACUUUUCCAAUUCAUUAUUAUAACUUCGGUUAUUGUCAAUUACUCUAACUUUGGUUUUUGGUAGCUUUUGGUAAUUUGGAGAGAAUAAUGACUUGAAUUUGUUUAGAGUUUUUUGGAAGAAUUUCUUGUAUUUGGAAAUUGAACUUCUUAGUAGCAUUGUGUGAUGACAAUUGUUUGGUGUAGAGAAUGAGAAGUGAGACAGAACAAAAUGAAACUAUGUAAAUGUGUUUGUUUUUUGAGGUUUUUCAAUUGUUGAUUUCUUUAUACAUAUUAUACAAGCAUAGGAGCCAUGAAAGAUUCUUUAGUUUUUUUUCCUUUUUUGUCAUUGGAUUUCGUUUGCUUUGUGGUUCUCUUUUUUCUUCACACGCUCCUUUUGUUACCUGUGUUUUCUUUUUUGCUUCCUCUGGGGACCCUACAUUCCAGACACAUAAUUGAGUAUUAUCUACUAUUUUUUUAUUAAAAUAAUUAAAUUAUAAUUUGUUCAAUAAAAAAUUAUAUUUUAAUAUUUGUUGAUGAAAUUAUAAAUAAGUUAUUUCUUAUAAGAACGACCAGAGAGAAUAUUUCAUUAGAUAUAUGAAUAGAUGAAUCUAUAUUUAUUUAUUUAUUUAUUAGUUUAGUUGUUUUAACCUUUUAUGGUGGAGUUGACUCUUUGUGAGAAUGAAAGGAGCGGGGUAGUUGGUUGUUUUGUUUUGUUGAGUUGUAAAUACUGUCUCUAAUUAUAAAUAUUCAUAGAUAAAAAAAUUGUCUUUAAAUAUAAAUUUAUUUUUAAUUUAUUAAAUGUAUUUAUUAUUGCUUUUUAAAUAUAACUAAUAUACUCUUUAUUUAUUUCAAAAUAUCUAACAUUAUAGUUGAGUGUUUAUCAUUAAAAAGUAAAAUUUAGUAAUUAAUUUGUAUUUAAGAUUAAAUUGAAAAAUUAAUUAUAUUUAACUAUAUUUUUUUGCAUAUUCAAUACACAAAAUAAUAUUUUAGUUAUUUUUCUAUGCAAAAUAAACAAAUUAAUUACACUAACAUUUUUUUUUAAUAACAGUAAAAUUUACUAUAAGAAUUGAUAUUUAGGGACUUAGAUAUUAUGAACUAUGAGAAGAAAAGUAUAAUUAAGAUUUAAUUCUUGAAUUUAUUGUUCAUAACACCCAAUAUCUCUCUCAGUGAUGGGUUGACCAUCUCAUUUUAGGUCUUCUUAAACCACUCUACAAUGUAAAAUAAAAGUCUAGCAAGACCUUUUACCUUGUAUUCAAACUUUAUGCAACAUUAAAGUAUGCUCAUUAAUUGAUUGUUAACUCCAACUAUAUAUCGCGAAUAAAAUUGUAUAUUGAGAAAUUUCAGAUUGGAAUAAAGGGUACCCCAUUAAAUUUUUAAAAUUUUUUGAUGGAACCAAAACGUAAAGCAACUAAUUAAAAAUUUGUAUACUGGGCAAAAUUGAUUGUUAACUUCAUCUAUGUAUCUUGAAUAAAAUUGUACAUUGAAAGAUUUAAACUUAGAAAAAAUAUGUAUGACCAUUCAAUUCUUUUAAGAUUUUGGUUGGAACAAAAAGGCAAAGCAACUACUGUGUAAGGCUUGUUUAUUUAGCAUUUUUAAAAUGGUGGCUUUAAUUAUUAUUUUUUAAAUAUUACUUCCAACUGCUCAAAUUGUAUCUCUUAUCCCACAAAUUAUCUGAAUUAUCUAAGUCAUCAAUAAAAAAUAAUUUUGAUUACUUUCGACAAAAUUCAAAAAUUGACUUUCAACUUUUCGAAAUAAACAAAUUGCAUUUAACUCAAACAAUCAAUUUGAUUGCAUAUAUAUUUGUUAAAGUAAAAUAUUAAAUUUAUCAAAAUAAAAAUAAAUUUUAAUAAACUUAAACUUUAAAUUUACAAAAAAUAUAAUUUUCUUUUGACAAAAUAAAAAUAAAAAUUUGUGAGAGCAUCGUGGGAGAGUUUUCUAAAAGUUUUAUAUUUAAAAUAUUAAAGACAAUUUUAGUACUACAUCCAUCUUUAAUAAGACUCAUUUGAUAUUUUUGUUCGUCCCUUUUAUAAGAUUUUUUUUUUUAUAACUUUAUUAAGUAUUUUUUAUCUAUCUAUCCCUUAUUAUAUUAUAUCUUUUUUUUUUAAUCUAUAACAAAUGUUACAAUAAAAACAAUUAUCUCUCUUCAAAUACAAACUAAUAAAAAUUUCAAAUUAUCAAUCAAAUUAAUAUUACAACUCACUUUUUUAAUUCAACAGUAGUUACAAAAUUUAUAUAUCAGAAUUAAACAUUUAAAUCAAAUACAUGUUGGAAUUAAAAGUUAAAAUUUUCUCUCUCUUUUUUUUUUUUUAAAGAAAUAUAAAGAAAAGCCCGACACACAAACCAGACAUCUAUAUCCACCACGGCCCAACUAUAACCACCACAGCCUAGGGUGAGAAACGCCACUUAUAACAAUUGAAUGCUUUUUUUUUUCCGCUCUAAUGUAUUUAAAUGCACGUUCAAACAUAAUAUUAAUAGAAGUUGUUUCUAAAUAUAAGUCACUUUAUAAAUUUUUAAAUUGUUAUUAUUAUUAUUUUCUGAACAUAACUUUAAUGAAUAGUAUUAAUUUAUUUUAGAAUAUAAAAAAUUAAAUUGAGUACGUUUGUACCCAAUGACAUUAUAUUUUUAUGCAAAUCAAAUGCAUUAACUAUCCUAUCAAAAAAUUUAAUAAAAGAGAAUUGCUACUUCUAUGUCUCUAAUUAUAAAUUAGUUAGAAAAAAAUUAUCCCUAAAUAUAAGCACUGUUUUCAUUUAUUAGAUAUAUUUAUCAUUAUUAUUCAAACAUGCCUCUUAAUAUUAUUAAUCUAUCUUAAAAUAUAAAAAUUCAAAUUUAACUGUUGAAAUAUAAAUGUUAUUCUUUUGUCAAAAAAUACAUAAAUGUUAUUUUAAAAAUAUUAACAAAUAAAAUAAACACAUUAAUUAUUUCAUUAACUUUUUUAAUAUAAAUGAAAAAUCAAUGAGUAAUUAUAAUAAAAUAGAAAAGUAAUAUACUAAGUGUUUUUUUUAUGAAUGUGAGUUUGACCCCUAUGAACGGCAUUGUUAUUCACGAUUUUCAAGCACCACUGUUCAUUCAUUUUCACUAUCAAUUGAGCUCAAUUGAUAGUAAUAAUGAAUGAACGACAAAGAUAUGUUGAUUUUGAAAUCAUGUAAUAGUAUAUAAAUUAGAUGAGAAGACCACACAAGUAAUCAAAUUGGCAGGAUAUCACAUAAGGAAAUAGCAUUAUAAACCUUAAAGAACACAAUAUCAAAUGUUAAUCCAAAUCAAUCACAUUAAGAGAGACACGUAGAUACAACGUUAUGCAAGUUCUAUACUUUAUACUUUUUUUUUUAUCAUUUGGUACAAUUAUAUUUUGAAGUACAUGUUAAGAGGCUUAAUACUAUGUCACCACAUGAGUGGACGGAUAAUUCAUGAAUGACCUCCUCAUAUAUCCCUUCAACUCAACCCAAGAUACAUAUAUGUGAUGGUUAGAGCAGUCUUGUGUUGCAUGGUAGUUUAAGAUUUUAGGAAAUAACCAUUAAUUCACUUAAGAAUUAUCCAACAAAGAUACCACGAGGUCUAUCGUUCUUACCUUAUGGUUCGACCGUAGCUCUCCGCGAUCAGACUAAUUCAAUUGUACUUUUCGAAAUCACUAAGCUUGUGAGACCAUUCUUAUAUAAUGGCAAAAUAAUAUUAACUUCAAAGAUCCCUCGGUGUCUAGUUCAUACUUAUUUGAUGAUCACAGUUCGACAACUCUCAGUAUAAAUUUCACAAUAUUCAUCAAAGUUUAUAUAUAUAUAUAUAUGAAUCAAUCUCAAUAAAUUUUUGACAUUCAAAUACACAUAAUCACCAAUGAACAAUUAAGUCUCGUCAAUCAUAAAUAUAUCUAUAAGGCAAUCUCAAUCAAUUUUUGGCAUUCAAGUACACACAUUCACAACUAACAAUUAAGUCCCAUUAAUCAUACAGCCAGAGAUCCGAUAAGUUGUACAUUUAAUUAAAAUCAUUUUAUUCGAGUAACUAGAAUACUUAAAUACACAUAAUUCAUACAAUAACAAUUAGAACAUGAUUUCACAAAAAUCAAAUAUCAUACAAUAUUGAUUAAAUUUACUAAAUAAAGCUCAAAAUACAUUAUUUUUAUCACCAAAAUUUAUUCUAUACAUAAUUGAUAUUUAAACAAAAUAUCAAUUAGUUGCUAAUAAGUUUGAAUAAAAAUGGGCUAGCACAUAGCAAUAAUUUUACGUCAGAUUUAUUUAUUUUAUUUUUCAUUUUAAAAGAAAAAACAAACAAAAUAUUUUUAAUAUUAAUAAUUUAAAUAAAUUACUAAAACAAACACAUAAGAACAGCACAAAAAUAAUAUAAAUAAUAUUAUUAAUAAAAAACGAAUAAAAUGCAGUAGAAUAUAGAGGGGGGUAGGGGAGCCCAAAUAAGUACUGAAAGACAGAGAAGGCCCAUAUUGAGAAACCGACAUCGAAGUGUAUAGUUAAUUAAUUGGACCUUAUAAAGACGAAGAAUUAAAUGCGGGCAUAUUUGGUAUGUGUGCAUUGACAGAGAGAUUUGGGGCUCAACAACCCAAAAAAUGCGAUAAUUAAUGAGAGUGGGAAGUGAAUCAAAACAAAGCAAGAGUAAGACAUAACGGAUUCACCAUACAAAACAUUCUUUAAUCCGCUUUCCUUUUCAACGCAUUUACUACUCUUUAAUCUCUCACCAAAAUCAACGUCACGUCCUACAUAUACUCUUCUUUUAAGCUUAUACUUGUUAGAAUAAAUGAACCUACAUAUACUCUUCUUACGCUUUGAGUAUUUAUCCCGAAAAGAAAAGCUGCACCGAUGAAACUCUGGUGAAAGAUGGAGAGAAAUUAAUUAUAAUAAUUAGUUAAUUAGAAUUAGAAAUUGUAACAAAUCCACUAUGAGUGUUUGAUAGGUGAGACGAUGUAUAAUAGUAAUUGAUAGAAACGCGCGUUUUGGUUUUAUAUUCUUUCUGCAAACACUCAUAACAGACUUUCUCAUUCCGCUGUGUCUUCUCUUUCAUUUCAGUUUUGCACCCAUUCAUUUUGACACCGACGUUACAUUACUCAUCCCAAAUUCAUCUUUCAUCUUCAAUUAUUAGUAUUACAGUAUCUAUAAUCCAUUGAGAAUAGGAAUUGUACGUCUCCAUCUUCUGACACACACACAUGACCAUAACCUUUUUUCCUUUACUUUUUAUUUUUCAUCAAACGGAUUUGCCCAAUCACAUUGAUUAAUUAGUGGAGUAUAUUGAGAUAACCUUUUUUUUUUUUAUAAAUAUUACUAAAUAUAAUAUUGUUAAAAUGAAUCUUAUUUUUGUGUUAUUGGAUUGAGAUUUUUAAAUAUGUUAAAUAUAGAAUAGCAAUUAGUUUUAACUCAUAAAAGUAAUACAUGGAUACGUGAGAUUGAUUGUAAACUACAAAGUCAAUAGUUUUAAAUUAGACUCAAAAAAAUUUAGUUCAAACUCAAAAGAGAAAAUAGUCACUUCAGAUCGAUCUUAUUCGAUCAAUAAUGGUAUAAAAGCUUCUUGAAAUUAAGUCAUACUCAUUUUUAUGAAGGAAUAUGAAGUUGUUAUCCACAAUAAAUCACAUGGAUCUUCAAUCAUAGCCAUCAAAUGGUUGAGAAGAAAAUUCGAUGAUUAUUGACCACGAUAAUUCAUAUAUGUUCGCUUCUUGAGUCACUACCAUUUCAUGGUUAGAAGAACACACAUCUCACAUCAAAUGGUGAUGCGAGAAUUAUAGAUCUCAUCUAUGCAUUUUAAAAACUCUAGAAGAAACUAGUAUAUAAGAAGGAUACCUAAGGUCAUAAAUAUGCACUAAAAUUCUAACCCUACAAAACCUCUCACCCUCCAACAAAAACUUGCUUGAUUGUUGGAUUGUGUGCAAGUAUAACAACUAUCGUCUUACUUAAUUGUCGCAUAAAAAAAUAACUCAAGUUUCUAUCUUCUUCAUCUAUCUCACAUGGUAGUUUAGCAUCUAUUUUUUUUAACUUAGAAUAGGCUCUUGAAAUUGUUUAUGUCUCUUAUUUUAUUAGAAAUCUUGAUUAAAUAUAAAGAAAAGAGAUAAUAUUAAAAUGAAGAUAAAUUUUAUAUUGAUAGAAUGAGAAAAAGAUACAAAAUGAAUACAUUAUAUAAUCUAUAUAUAGAAUAAGAGAGAGUUAACAAACUAACCACGUAAAAAUUAACUUUAACAUUUAACUCAUCUAACUAACAUUUAUAUAAUAUUUAAUACAUUAAUAUCUAAUUAAAUAAUUUUUAAAUAAUAGAUUUAAUGUUUUUCGUGUUGUUUUAUUUGUCGUCUUGAAACAACAUUGUUUAAGUAUUUUUUUCUUAUUGCGAUGAUUAUUUUAUUCAAAUUAUUAAAUUCAUUUCAAUUCUUAUUAUUUUGUCUCAAUUAUAAGCAAAACUAAAAAUCAGUUAAUAAAAAUAUAUGAAAAAUGAAAGGAGUCUAUAACUUUAAUGUUCGUUAAUUAUAUAAAUUGUCACUAUGAUUAUUUUAAUCUAUAAAGUCAUUUAGAUCAAAUAAUUUUUUUUAUAUAAACUUAUGAAAAUCCAAACCCGAAAAUGUUGAUUAUAAAAGUCUUUUGAUUCAAUAAAUAUGGUAUAGGUCAUUACAUUUUUAUACAGGCUUGUUUUUAAAAUCCCCAUUUUAUUUCAAAAUAAAUCUUUUAAAAUCUCACUCUAGUACACCCACUAAUUAUAUAUUGCAUUCCUCUUGAAUCCAAGACAUUCUUUUUCUGUGGGUACUAUUAUUUUCCAAUACUCGUUUGUUUGUUGAAGAUGCCGUUUAUAGUCCCAUCAGAAUCCGACACAUAUUUGCUUGUAAUUGAUAUAUGUACACGAACAGUAAAUAACUGUUCCUUAUAUAUAUUUAUAUAUCAUUUUAAAUUCUAUCAAUUUUUAUUGGAUUUUAUCGCAGUUCCAUCGCUGUUUUUCUAAUUACACUUAAAUAAAUUACUUACAUGAAUUAAAUUACAUAAAAUUAAAUUUACAUACAUAAUAAAUUUAAUUUAUAUAGAAUACAUAAAUUAAGUUCAUUUAAUCAAUUUGAAUAUAUCUAAAAGAAAAAUGAAUAUAAUCAAUAAAAUUAAUUAUUUUAGAGAUGAAAUCUCUCAAUUAUGAAGGAGUACUAUACAUAGCUAAGACAAACAUGAUCUGAUCUCCCAUCACCCCGACAGUGUUUGAUUUGGGGGGAUGUCUUUGUUCUGUCCUUUCAUGACAAUUGCUAGUGUAUAGACUAUGAAAAUACAUUGAAUAUUAGUCAUAUGAUGAAUUUGGUUAACAAAACAACAAUCUAAACGAUUUGUUUACCAAACAAUGGUAUAUUUCGUCUCAUGAUGUGUUUGCCAACAUCAUACUAAACCAAUAAUAACAAACUUAUUGUUUCACCUUCUUUUUUUUUUUUGUGUAUUUUAAAUAAUUGUCCCUCACAUGGUGACAAUCUUAUUUCAAAAAUAUUCAACAAUGUUUCUCUUUGACCCAAAGAUAUGCCAAUUUGAAAAAAAUUAACAAUUAUGCUUUUCGCGGCUAUUGGCUAAUAAUUGUUCAUAUUAGCUUGAAUAAGAUGAAACAAAAGACAAAUAAAAUUGGUGUUCAAUCAUAUUCACCGUCUUGGUUCUCCAACUUGACAAACCUUAACUUAAAUAGUGGAUAAUUAUUUAGUGCAAAUAAGGAAUGUGAACAUAUAUAGAAAUAUUUGUAUCAUGUGAAUCUCGUUCCGCUUUAAAAUAAAUGUUAUUUUAAUAAAUAAAUAUAAUUUUAAUUUUGAAAGUAUUUUUAAUUAUUUUCUUUAAAUUGUAUUUUUCAUUUAUUAUUAUAUUUAAUAUUUUCAAAACAUUAAUAAGAAAUGCUAAAAGUUUUAUUGGGACAUUUGACACUUGUUAAUGAAUUUAAAAUAGUAUUUUAUAUUCAAAAUGCAUUAGAAAUUGUGUUUUUAAACUUUUGAAAGCUGAAAAUUAUUUUUUCAAUGUCAGAUAUCUAGUUUUGAAUUUUUCAACGAGUAUUUUUAAAAAAUUUGUUAGCAAGAGUCAACAUUAAUUACAUUUUAUUUAUGAAAGUGAAAACUCUUUUAAUAGCUAAUAAAAGUAAUUUAAUAAAAUAAUAAUUAUUAUUUUUGUAUCCAUCACAUUUUUUAAUAUAUAUAAAAAUAUUAAACAACAUUUAUUUUGAAAUAGAGGAUGAUUAAAUUAAUCUCGUCAACUAAUGAUACCAAAAUAUACAUUUAUUUACUCCAACCAAAUUAUACAUUUUAGAGAUCUGAAAAAUAGUUAUUCCACAAAAUAUAUUUGAUAAUUAAAAAAAAUACAUUUUAAAUUUUCUUUAUAUUUUAAAAUUAUUAUUUACAUCUUUAAAAUAUUUGUUAAGAUUUACUUGGUGAAAAACAUUGCACAUCCCUAAAAAAGAUAUCAAUAUUAUAUCACCGACUUUAUGCUACUUAAAACAUUGCCAGUAGAAGGCAAAAACCAUUAUGAACAAAAAUUCCAAAAUACUUAUUCCCAACAGGUUAUGGACUGCUCCUACUCCUACUCCUACUCACUUUACUUUCGAUUUCUCUUUGUAUUUGCUCUCAUUCAUGCUGGAACUUACUUUGACCAAUCAUGCAGGGCAUGAUUAUUUGUCAUAUAAUUAGAUAAUGAUACUCUUUUUUAAAAUAGGUUCUUGCUAAUAAUAAAUUCUUUAAGAACACGUAUUUAUGAACUAAAAGUAGAAUUAAACAUAUCACUUUUAAGAUAAACUUAAUAAUAAUACCUUUUUAUGAAAAAUUCACUAUUUUAUCCCCACACAUUAGUUAAUAAAAUUGUAUACAUAAGAAAAUAGAACAACUAAAUUAUUUUAUCAAUAAUUGAUAUAUUCACCAUUGUCAUCAAUGUAAAAUGAAAGAAAAUGAAUUAACAUGUACUAAAAAUUGAAAUAAUUGUUUUUCUUUUAAAUAUUUUUUUAUUUUUACAAAUAAGUCCUUAUUGUAUGAAUAGAAGAAGUAAUGAUUAAUAUUAAUCGAGCAAAUCACUUAAAAUUUAUCACAUGAAAUUGUAGUGGUCGGUCGUUUAGCACUUUAAAAUUUUUGUUAGUUUGUUCCGUUUAUGAGAUUGAUAUGAAUGUUAACUCUUUAUAGCAAUAUCAACUUUUAACUAUCUUAGUGUCGCGUUAGACAAAGAUUAAAUGACCCAAUUUGGUAAACAUCAUUAAACAAGUAUUACAUUACUCAAUUUUGUAAAUUAAAUUGAAACUCAUUUAAAAAAAAAAAAAACAAAAAUCUGUCAUGAAAUAUGCCCUCUUUACGACAAAUAAACGAAGACAGUUAAUAUUGAAAUUCAACAAAGAAAAAUAAACAUCUACGUUGAAAAUGAAAUCCCUAAAUUGAUGAACCUUAUAAUGCAUGUACAUGAGAUUGUUAAGCAAAAUCACUACCCAAAAGAUCGUUAUUACAUUAGUCCUAAAAACAAAUGAUUAUUCAUUUGAACACACAAUAAAGGAGAAGAAGAAACGAACCUAUGAAUGAGUGGGGAUGACCGAAACAAGCAAAUGAUGAAAAAUAAGAUAAUGAUGAACAAGUGAGGGGGCAAAAUAAAAUAAAAAUUAAGUUAAAUGGAGCGAAUUGAAUAUUUUAUAAUAAAAUAUUGCUUUCUAAAUUCGAACAAAGUAUACUCUAUCACUCAUUUAAUUUCAUCAACAGAGAAACUAACAGAAGAAUAAAGUAACCGACAUCAUUCAAUUUGAAAGUGUUAUUUACUUAUCUUUUAAAAUUUUUGGAGAGAAAAUACUCAACCAUUGCAAUUUCGAAAGGCAUAUUCACUAUUCAUUCGAUAUUCAUUUGUCUCACAAUGAAUCACCAUUUCUAUUUUAUGCAAUAGUGCUAUUUAUUAUUACUGUUUGCCAAUUAUACUCAUCAAUUAAUGCUAAAUGAAUCAUUUUCAAUUCUCAAUUCAAUACAUUCUACUUCAUUAAUAGUAAUAGUGAAUAUAUUCCAAAAAUUAUUUAAUAAAAAAUAUUCUUCUUGUUCUUUCAUUUGUGAAAAGAUUAAACGAUUAUUUCGAUGUUACAGGACAUAUCAGGUGCUACUCGUGCAGUUAAUUAAUAGGCACGAUGCAAUUCUCUUUGUGAUCAAGACCAAAUAAAUAAAAUGAUUCUUUUGUGUGAUAUAUGUUUAGUGUUAGUUUGGUGUGGUGGUAAGUUUUUGGUUUUAAAAGUCAAUAUCAAAACUAAAAAAAGUUAAUGGUGUUAGAAUUAGAUUUUUACUUAAUUUUAAAACAAUUUAAAAUAAAAAAUAAGUUUUAUAAUUAUUAUUUUUGUUUUAAAAUUAACAUGUCACCAUUAGCAGACAUAAACAUUACUCCACCGACCACUAUUACCAUCAUCAACCACCCAUCUCCGACCACCGCCGCCACCAUGACCAACAACCGAUCUCCAACCACCAUCUUCAAUCAUCCACCCACCCAAUUCCAUCAUCAUCCCACCUCUGACAAUCGUCAACUAACCACUUUUGACAAUUGUCACCACCAACACUGACCUCUCACCUCUAACCACCGUAUUCCACCACUAACACCACCAUCAUCCACCACUACAAUCAUCGUUAGUUGUGUUCGACUACCACAUUCAACUAUUAACUAUCUCUUUCGACCAUUGCAAUUGCUUUUGACGAUUGAUCACUACUAUGAUAGUUAUCUUGCACAAUUAUCACUUUUAACAAAUAUAACUAAAAUUGUUAAAAUUAAAUGAAUUGUAAUUUUAUAAUAUUACCUAUAUUCCUAUUUAUAAGUCUCAAUUGCAAAUUUCAUUCUUGUUAAAAAAGGUUGGCGGUGUAAUUAACUUGCUCUAGUACUAAAUUGAAAAUGAGCUUAUAUCAUGGGACACAUAUUUUGGCGUUGGGUGCUUAUAACUAAAUACAAAGGUAGUAUUUGUUUUUUUUUUUUUUUGUUUUUUUUUUUUUUUUUAAUAUAUGGCGAAUGCAUAAUGAGACAAUGUAAAGAAUAUGACUCAAAUCAUACAAAAUAAAAACUAGAAUUCAAUUAAGAAUUGAAAUUGAAAAGUAAACAUAGAAAUUGAAAAACUCAAAUACUAAAAUUGAAAACUCAAAAUUGAAAUGUAUUUUAGAUUUAAAAGAUUUCAAAACACAAAAUAAAAAACCACCCCAAAUAAGACCUUAUACAGUUUAUUUAUCCAUAUAUUCUGUUCAUUAUUGGAAAUAUAGGAGAUAAACUCAUCUUAAUUUAUUUUCUCUUUAUUUAUAUAUCAUUUAGAGAGAAAUAGACACUAAAAAAUAGUUAGUAAAUCCUCCACUAAGUGAAUCCGACAAUCAUUAAUUUUUUUUUAUUUUUUUUUUAAAUUUUUUUCUUCUAUCUCUCUAAAUACAUCAUAAAUAAAGAUGGAAGAAAUUGAGAGAAUUCUAACUAAAAAUGUAGAAUAGUUUAAACAUCCUAAACCUAAUUCCAAUACUUUAUCACAUUAAAAGAAGUUUCUCUUACUUUUUAAAAUAAAUUAAUUUUACUUAUUAAUUGUUAAUUUUUAUUGAAAAGAAGAUUUAAACUUAUGAUUUAUUUGUCAAUCUUACUUCCACAAACAACCAAAUAAUUAUAUAACUUCCUAAUAUUUGCUAAUAUUUGCUUGAUCACAAGUAAUUGAACACAUAAUUUAAACGUACAAUAACAUACAUACUUAUUUAAUUAUUUCAAAAUUAAUAAUUUUUUAAUUAACUUUGUCUGAAUUAUUUCUAUCUCUUUAGAAAUAUAUGUACGUGUGAGCAUGAAAAACUUCCUCUUAAAUACCUUUCAAAAAACAAUAUUUUUAUAAGCACGUUUGAUAAAACAAUUUAAAGUAAGAAGUGGAAAAAUGCAGUAAAUAAAUCGUACUUCCAAGAGAAAUUUUCUAAUGAUGACAACCUCCUAAGUUUAAUGGAAAAAUGCAGUAAAUAAAUCGUACUUCCAUAUACUUUAUUUUCCUUUUAUUUUCUUGGGGACCUUAGAAAACGAGCUAAAUCUUUUUGUAUUCUUUUGGCGCAUCCGAAUGAAAGGAAUUUCAAAAAGAGAGCAAGACAGCUUUUGCAUUUUCAAACACUUUUCCCUCAUUUAAAUCAAAAUAAUUCCAUCCCAAUCCUUUUCAACCUUAUAGCUCAAAAGUCCAACUUUUAUAACACAUAAAAUUUAAAAUCCCCUUUGAAUUUUCCAAAAUGUUUUUCUUUUCUUGAAAAAAAAAAAACAAAGAAAAAAGCUGGCACUUCCAUGAACAAGACAAGUCCCCUUUUUAUAGGUCUUUUCACAAUUUUAUCACUCCCUUUGAUAAUACAGUUGUUUGUCAGCAUAUCCAUUCUUGAACAUAAUAACAAAAUAAAUAAACAUAAAAUUGAAAAACAAACAAACACCACAUGUGAUGAAGAACUAAAACUGAUUACACUAAAUUGAUGAGUAGUAGCAAAUGGAAUAUCAUACAUUCGUUCUGAGUUAGGAAAAAAAAGAAAAACUAAUUAAAUUAAUUACCUAAUGGCAAAACACAAAUUAAUAAAAGAAAGAGAGUGAGAGAGAAAAAAUAAUAACAUAAUUAUUUUCUUUCUCUUUUUUUUUUUUGUUUAAUAUCAAAGCCAGUCAGAAAAAAGUGCUUCCCAAAUCUCUGUGAAAACUUCAACAAUGAUCUUGUGAUGAUGAAACGAAUUAAGUGAGAGAAAGCACUGUAAAAGAUUCUCCAAAUCAGUUGGCGAAAAAAUCUGUUUCUCAACGAUCAUCUCCACCAUUGAAGUUCUGAAAUCAUUGUACGGAUCACUAGAGCGUUUCACCACUGCAAAUGUGUCCUUCACUUUACCGUUCAACGGAAGAACACCCAUGUCAGAACUCCGGUCAGUUUUCCGGCGAGAUGAUUUCCGGCGACGAGACUUAGAGGAAUCGGAAGNNNNNNNNNNNNNNNNNNNNNNNNNNNNNNNNNNNNNNNNNNNNNNNNNNNNNNNGGAAGAGUGACUCUUUGAAGAGAAAAGUGUGUCUGUUUCAUCGUCUUCGUCGUCGCUGCUAUAUAACCAAUAAUAGCUAUCAAAGUUUGUGUCUUUAGCACAUGAAUUAAAAGGAAAAGCUCUGUUUUUGUUGUGGGUGUGAUUCUUCUUCUUCUUCUUCUUUUUCUUGUUCUUGUUUUUGUUGUUUUUGAUGAUAACGUUUUUGGUAGAAUCAUUAGAGUUUUGGUAGAAAGCGAGGUUGGUUGGUUUGAGAAGGGGUUGAGGUGAUUUGAUAGUGUUGUUGUUGUUUGAAGAAGAAGAAGAAGAAAAAGAAGAGAUUUUGGGUCUGGGAAUGUUAAAAGAGAUGAUAUUGGAAUUGGAGGGUGCAAAUAGUGGUUUUUCCAUAACAUCGGUUAAGUGUCGGGUUUUGCAGGAAGCGAAUGAUGAUCGGAACAUGCGAGAGAUUCGCAUUUUCAGACGGUUUUGGUUUUCCAUGACAGAAGACAGUGAGAUGAGAGAGAGAGAGAGAGAGAGAGAGAGAGAGAGAGUUUGGUUCAUAAAAUGUGCAGAGGGAGAUAGGGAUAUAUAUAAAUGCAAUAUCAUAAACCCAAACUUUACUUCUCUAAAAUUCUCUACUUAUUUCGUCUGUAUAAGUAAUUAUGAACGUUUAAAAUUGUAUAAAAAAUAAAGCAAGUACAUGGCCACAAAAUAUAAACACUUAUUUAAUAUUUUAUUUUUGUUUAGAAAUAUUGUAGUAUAAUUAAUGUUUCUAUUUUAAGUAUAAAUGUCAUUUUCUGAUUUCUAUUUAUAAGUUAAAAAUAAAUUAAUCAAAAUCGAUGUAUUUAAUCUCAAAUGUAUUAUCACUCACUUUUAUUUACAUAUAAGAAUGGAUGAAGUACCUAAAAUGCCCUUUAUAUUUAUAUGUAAUCAAUUUUGAUUUUUUAUAUUUUAAGAUAUCUAGUAAUAUUAAUUAUGAGUUUAUUUAUAAAAAAAAACUAUAAAUAUAUCUAGUUUAGUAAUUUGAAAAUAAAUUUAUAUUUAGAUAAAAAAAAUAUUAUUAAAUAAGUGCCUAUAUUUUUAAAUAUAGGGAGUAAUCAGAUUAAAUUAGUUCUUUAUAUGUUUUGUCGGUUUUUUUUUUUAAAUCAUAUUGUGUGUAAUUAUUUUUUCAAUGUAUUAUGUUACAAAAAUGCACUAUAUAAUUGUGACUGUUAAAAUUAAUGAUAAAUUUGACUCCAAUCAUUUAAUCUAGUGAUAAAAAACAAGCAUUGGAUUUAUAAAUUAUGGAUUCCACUUGUUAGUAUCAUUGAAUUUUUAAGUGAUUAGUGGACAUCUUAUUUAGUUUAGAUUAGAUAAAAUUCUCUCCUCAAAAUUUUUUCUCAUAUAAAAUUAAUGACAAACCCAUAACACAUUUAGUGCAAAUGAAAUUUGUAGGUUCCAUAAUUUACUUACAUUGUAGGACUCUAUUCUUAUUACUAUGUGAAUCACAAUUUUUAUCAUUUUAUUUUUGACUAAUUAUACUUUCUUUUUAAUUUGGAGAAUAGGAAGAAGAGGAGAAAGAAAAUGCACACCAAUAAUAAAUGUAAUAUUUUAUGAAUAGUGUUAGGAACUCUCUUUUCAAUAUUUAUUUAUUUAUUAGAUGAAAUUAAUAUGGAUUUUAUUAAUUUACAGAAGACUAAUUAUCAAAAUGUGAAAUUCAUAUUAAUUUUACUUAAUAAAAAAAUAAAUGUUAAGUGAGUGUUUUAAAAAAUAACAGUGUAUCCAUAAUAUAAAUAAAUAAAUAAAACUAUAAUUAAACAAGUUAAAUGAACUCAAAAUUUUGUAUUUUACCUAAAGUUUAAAUAGACUAUGUUCUUAUACAAUUUUGAUUUUGUUGACAUUGCUAAUUCACCUUCGUCUGCCUUUGAAUAUGGGAUUUUUCAAAUCACUUUUUAUAAAAAUAUUUCAAAAUAUAUUGAAUGUUCUAUUUUUUUCGUGUCACAUAUUUAAGAUGCAAUUAUGUGAAGAAAAAAAUAUAUUAAAAUUGGGGUGUGCGACCUUCUUCACACAUAUGUAUUUUUUCAUUUUUUUUGUAUUAAUUAAUUAAAUAAAAAUAAUAAUAAAUAAAUAAUAAAAAUAUUUAAUAUUAAUUAAUAAUAAUAUUGAAUCAUUUAAAAUUAAUUAAAAAAUACAAAAUAUCAUAGAAAUUGAAUAGAGUAGCCGACAACAUUGGAACAAUGUUUUAAUAAUUCUAUCUUAUUUUGUAACCUAUUUACUUGUUAAUUAUUUAUUAAUGUUUAUGACAUUACAAAUAAAUUAGCAAUUUCUUUUUAUUUUGUAGUAUUCAACCAAUUCUCUUCUAUUUUAGAGUUAAUUUUAUUUAUUAAAAAUAACUUUAUAUAUAUAUAUAUAUAUAUAUAUAUUUAUAGAAGGUCUCAUUCUCAUAAUGGACCAAUUAGUACUAUAAUUUUUCUUUGUUUUGUACGCGUUCUAGUUAAAAUAAAAAAAAAAUGAUUUUUUGAUUUUUUUUGAAUGUAAAGUAUUUUAAUUUUCUUUUAAAAGAGAUGUAAAGAAAAAGAAAAAUCCUCAAAUGUGCGAGUUCACGGGAUUUCCUUUUUUUUUUUUUAAUUUUAUUUUUUUAUAGAAAUGGAGAGGACUAUGUCUCGUAGUAUUAUUACACCUUCAUAUAAAAUAAAACAUAUAUUACACCUAGCCUUUAAAAGAGUUUUAAGAUAUAUGAGAAAUUAUUUAAAAAAAAAAAAAUACUCACAAAUACUAGUUAUUAAAUUAGAAUAGGUUGAUCUUCGCUCUAUAUGUUUUUCUAUUUUAUUUUAAAUUCUAAGAAAUUGAAUUUUAGUAAUAUAAAAUUCAGUUGAGAUAUAAGUAAAGUUUAAUAAAAGAUUAUUUCAAUCAUAAUUCGAAUUUAAAUUAUUUAAAUUAAUUUGUUUUUAAUUAAAACAUAUUAAUAAUUCAAAUCUAAUUAUUAGAUUAAAUAUGUUUGUGUUUAUUUUUUGGUGGAUCGGUAUAUUAUAAAUAUUUUAUAUGUUAGUUAAUUUAUAACUACUCUUCUUUUAAAUUUGUGUAAAUUAACAAGUUAUAAAUACAAAUUUGUUAAAUAUACGUUAAAGUAUAACUUAUUAAUUUAUACCAACAAAAAUAUCAUGCAAAUUAGCAAAUUUAUAUAAAUUAACUUCCAAUCUUGGGUGUAAAUUAAGUUAUUUAAAAUGGUACUAAAGUUGAGGUGUAUAAGUUGGUGGCGUAUAACAGAAUUCAAAUUUAUUGGGAGUAAAAUUUACCACUUGUCCUUUUAUCUUUUGCUCUAGCUUCAGAACUACAAGUACUGGGGUGUGUGUGAGUGAAACUCUGAAAAGUGUCAAAACUUCCUGUAUAAGUACCAACAUAAGGGCAUGGGAGAGGCUUACUAGAUAACCACAAUUCUCACCUCUCCACUACUACAAACUUUGUCAUUUUGCAUGCUUCAUUCUAUGCUACUACUCUACUUUCUUUUUUUUGGAAUGUUAUAGAGCUAUUUUUGAAAACAAAUAUAAGUUACAAAUAUUAAUUUCAAAACAUUUAGAUUUACAAACUUCAAUUUUUUACAAUAAUUUUGGCCUUAGCUUUUAAAAUAUAUGCCACAAUAUUUAAAGAGAAAAAUGUAAAACUAAAUUUUUAUUUUUGGAUUUCCAAUGCAUUAUUGAACCAAAAUUUUUAAAUUAAUCAUUUGAGUAUCGAAAAUUCAUUUAAAAUAUUAAUCAAUGACUACAAAUAUUUUUUAAUAUAUAUCAAUUAAAUAUUAAAUUAACGACUAUAUACUUAAAUGACACAAUUAUUUGUUAAUUUUGUGAUACUACGUGAACGUUCAUGUAUUUUAUCAUUAUAACAAAUUUAUUGUAUAUAAAAAGUCAAAUCUUUAUGGCUAAUUAAAGUUUUGUAAAGCAUACUAAAAUCUAACCUUUUAUAGUGCAUAAUGUAGCCAUUUUAACUAAACAAGUUUGUUUGUAUAAAAGUAAGAUAUUUACCCCUUGUACUUAGGGUCUAAAUUAUUGAAACAACAAGUAACCUACUAAGUGUACUGAUUAGUUAAGUACAAAAAAGACAAAUAAACAAUUGCAACGUAUAUUAUAUUUGCUCUCUAGGACAUAUAUAGUUGUAGGGGACCAUGAUCAAGGACUAAUUGAACUAGUUAAAGGCGCUUAAUAACGUUUGAAAUUCAAAUAGUAGAAAAAGGGAUUGAGCUGGCAUCUUCUAGUAACACACAAUAAGAAAAAUAGUAAAAUAAAAGUGCUCUUAUUAGCAUAGCCUUUUCAACAACAGCUUAAGAAUCUUUACCUACCUAUGAACUUGAUUUCUUCUAAGCAUUCUCGUGAUAGAUUGCUACAAUUGGUAAUACUACAAGAAUACAACAAAAUUUACUUUGAAACAAACCAAGCAUAAGCAUUAGAGUUCAUUAAUUCAUCAUCCUUUUCAUUUUUAAUUCUUUACUUGGGCAAAUUAAUAGUACAUAUAUCCUUUAUUGUAAGCAUUACAGGCAGCAGUAAUGUUACCUUUUUUUCUUUAUGAUAAUCAGUAAGUUCUUUUUUAAAUAUUAAUCUAUUUGAUUUUAUCUAUUAAAUUUGUUUUAAAGUUGACGCACAAAUAAUCAAAUUAAAAUAAAAAUUUUAUAAAAAAAAUUUGUUGAUUUUUUUGUUGUUGCAAUUUAUAAGAAAAAGUUAUGAUUUUUAAACAAUAUUUAUUACUUAAAUAAAUUCCUUUAUCUUCAUUUAAUAUUUGUCUCUUAAAUAUUAAUUUAUAUGUUCAAUGUCUCACACUUUUUUUAUGAUAGAUAUAUUUAUAAAAAUAUUCAAAAAAUGAUAAUAAUAAAUAAGUUCAACAAUAUUUAUUUUUAUUAUUAUAAUUGUAUCUGGAUAGAAUAUCAUUUUAUUUAAUAUGGUGAAAAUAAUAAUUUUAGAUUUUUAAUCAACUAAAAUUUAGCGUUCUUCAAAUUAAACAAACAUAAUAUUUAUGUUGUCGGUAAACAAAAUAAUAAAUAUUAUAAAAAAAACUUCGUAAAUAUAAUUAUAAAUUUUAAAUAUAAAUUCAAUAAAUAAUAUUCAAUUUAAUAAUAUUAAUAUUUUAUCGUUUAAAUAUAAUUUAAAGCAGAAACAAACACAACUUUUAGGUGAUUCAAACUUUAAACAUUUUAAAAUUAUACCUCUUUGGUCUCUUCCUUCCCUUGAAUAAAAAUCCUUCUUUCUCUCCUAUUCGGAUGUUUAUUUGUUAAUUUUUUUCACUUUUUUACCUCUCCCUCAAUUAAUGCAAACUAAAAUAAAAUCAGAAAGCUUUGAAAGUUUGUCAACUACUUUUUUCGUUAAAUUUCAGUUGGUUGAUUAUCCACACCUAGUUAGCUACACUGUGAAUAGUGUAGCAAAAUUGUAAGCUACUAAUUCCUUAAUGGUAUGCCGACCUAAUGGUUUUAAUUAAUACAGUACUGGUAUUUGUUUCAUUAUAAAUUUAUUAAACUAGUAAAAAAUUAAUUAUUUUCAUGAUAUAGUGUAUGUAGGUACUCUGUGCCAGAAGUUUAAAAUUAUCAUUGCAAACUCAAUACCACUUUCAGAAUAUGCUUCAGAAAUUAGGAACUGUUAUUCCUUAGAGAAGGAAUCAAAACAUGAUAUCACAGAGCAUUAACUAUAUAUACUACUCCCACACAGUACUUAUAUUUGUAGUAUUCAAUUGUGGGAAAUGAGUUUCUUAUAAAUAACCAAUACUCUCUCUCAUGAAUAACAAAAAUAAUAGUUGAAAAAAUUAAUUAAUUUUAUUAAAAAUUAAAAUAAUAAUAAUAAUAAUAAUAAUAAUUUUUAAUUUUUUUUUAUAUUUCAUUCCAAAAUAGUAUAUUGUAAUGGGUAUAUUUGGAAUCAAAAUUGUAGGCAAUAGUUUCCCUUUCAAAUUGCAGCUUAUUUGCUCCCAAGACAUUAAGGAUUUUUUUUUUAAUAAAAUAAUAACUUUUGAAAUUUUAUGUUUGUUUGUUACAAUUUUAUAAAAAUAUAAAAAUAAUUCUAAAAAUGAUUUUAAACGAGAAGUUAUUUUUAAUAGUUUAAAAAAAAUCUUUUAUAACUGAGUUUUCUUUUUUUUUUUUUUUAAAGAAAGUGAUUUGCACUAUAACAAACAAACACAAAACAACUUCUCAUUUUUUAAAAAAGAUUUAAAAAAUAAUAAUUUUAAAAAAGAUUUAAAAAAUAAUUUUUAAAUUAUACAAUUUUUUUUUAUAAUCUAUAACAAACACAAUUGUUAAACCUCAACCAAGGAAAUGAAUUUCAAUAACAUAUACUCCUAUUAUCUAUGUCUUUAAUUACAAGUCUCACAUAAGAAAUUGUCUUCCAAUAUAAGUUUUAAUUUCAAAUUCAUAUUAUGGACUAUGCACUGUAUACCAAUAAUAUGAUAUAGUGUACAACUAUAUUAUUCUUUUUAUGGUUGAUUUUGACCCUUCUUAUUAUAUUUUAUUGGACGGUGGGGGCUCCCAAUAUUUUCCUCAUGUUCUCUGAAUUAAGAAAUCUACAAAAGUUGAUAGGGUAUGUUUCAGAGGAAGAGAGAGAGAGAUAGAGAAUUGGGGGAAAAAGAUUGAUUUUUCGAAAUGUGAGAUAUGGGAGUGGAUGACAAAAGUAUUAUUUAAUAGUUUGUCAACAUGCUCGUGUCUUUCUCAACUCGUCCAUUAGUUACAAGACAAAUAUUAUUUCCUAGUUUCAACUUUCAAGUGUUUGGCUAUACCAACAACUUGAAUCUUAACGAGUCUACUUACUCUUCACUUCCCCAAAAUAUUAAGGGCAAUAACCCGAAUUUGGAUUUUUCAAAUAUGAGAUAUUCAACUGCACUUGUAUAUUUUAAAUUGUAAAACAUAAUCAAUUUUAGUAGUUCGAUGAUGAGUAUGUUAUUUUCGUGUUUGAUAUAAAAGGAGGAUAUUCAAAUCUCAAUAUUUCUUUUUUAAUUUUGAUUUUGGAUCGACAUGAGAUGGCGGUCGGAAUUAACAGUGAUGAUAUAUGAUUGUGAGCUUUGCUUCUCGAAUAAAGAUGGUGUACGGAUGUGCAAAUAUUUUAUAACUCAAGUUAGUGUUUGAGUGAGUGAAAAAAGACAUUUAUAAGAACGAAUUGUGUACUUUCUUGUGAGUUUUUUUUUUUUUUUUUUUGUGUGGGAAAGAUUAGAUCAAAUUCUUAAGAAUUUAACGAUGAAAUCUUAGUGUGAUUCUUAUGUUUGCCAUUAAUGAUUAAUUUGGCCAUUCUAGAUAACCAAAAAAAAAAAUAUUGAGAGUUAAUGAAGCUUGUGUCGAUGGUUACCAUCGAAAUGGACUCGUUGAGAUAAGAUCUAAACCUAGAUCGAGGAUAUGUCUCCACUUAUGAAAGCUCAAGUAGAUACAAUAGACGUUGCAAUGCGAAUAAUUUGGUUAUGAAAAAUAGAGAAAACAUGUAUCACACAUGUGCAAAAUCUAAAAAAUUACCACAUGAACACUCUACCAUAGUAGAUAUUCAAGAAUCAAUACAUGAAAUUUUAAUGAAUUUAAAAGAAAUUGUAUUUGGUAACACUAAAAAAGACAUACAAUUACAUAUAAUUUUCAAUCUCGAGUGUUAAUUUGAGAUUACACGUUUGGAUUACAUAAUAAUAAAAUAAAAUAAGUUGAAAAUAAUCUCAAUUGUUUAAUUUGCAAUUAAACAAUUGACAAUGAACUUUGCAUGAGGUAGUUACUACAUCAAAUCCAAAUUCAAAUCCGUGGAAGCCGAUUGAGGGACACAUUUAUCCCUUUAAAAAAAGACUUUAGAAUCAUGUGGUCAAUGAGUUCUCUCUCUAAAAAAGCAUCUCAAGUUUGUGGAAGCUUCCAAACAGAGAAGGACACAUGAAUGAGAGUAGAUCUUACCCUUUUACUUCAAAAUGCCCCACCAAGGGGUAACAAACAAUAUUUGGAUAGUUACAGUCCACUUUUCAAAAUUCACACGAAUUCAACAAAUGACAAGAAUAAAAUAUCACAAUUACAUUACAUAGAUUUCUUGUUUGCUCUGCCUAUCAUUAUUAUAUAAAAAGGUCUGAACCCAAAUUUUGUUAGUUUAUUAUGGAUUGUCAAUGAAAGCAAAGUGAAGGUGUUAGCGUUUGACAUUUGGAACGUGACGUAUGGUCCUAAUUUUUCUCUUUUCUCUUUCUUCAUACAUAACUUUUAUGAACUUGUCUUUUAUGUUGGCUAUACAUACACAACAUGUUGUAACAUAAUUCUUCAAAUCUCACACUUACCACUAAAUUUGGCACAACCAAUAUAGUAGUAUAUAUUUUACCAGAAUUAGGCCAGUAUUUUGAAUCCUUAAUGUCAAGUGUAUGAAACAUGUACUAGUCUUGCAGAACAAGACAAGUGAAUUAGAACAAACUGACAUUAUGAACAAAAUUGUGGACACUGAUAUUCAUCAAACAAUGGUGUAACAUGUGAUUGAAAUAAUUUACAUUAGAACCAACAAACAAUCAACUUAUCAUACACUCCACUCUAUUUGAAAUAAAAUAUAAAUAAAAAUAGCCUAAAUUUUUAAAAUGAUAUACAUAUAUAUAAAAUUUAUCUUCUAUUUAAGGAAAGUAUUUCUAAAAUAUUCUUUAUUUAAUUUAACUUUUUAUAUUUCUAACAAUUUAAUUUACUUCCUCAAAUUACAAAUAUAAGCAAAAGUUAAGAUGUAUUUGAUUCAAAAUUUGGAUCAAAUACAUUUUGACUCUUACUUAUUUUUAUAACUAGAGGGAAUAUUAUUGUGUGGAGGAUAAUUUAGACAAUACACUUUAUUUAAAUAAUAUUUUAAAAUUUUGUUUUUAGCUCCCCUAUAAAAACUACAAUUUAUAGUCAUUAAAAAAUUAUUCUGCAAAUAGUUUUAACUCCUAUUGGAAUGAAACGUGUUUAGUUCUCUUUAAACUUUUAAAUUUUAGAAUGAUUUUUUACAAGCAUGUUUAGAACAUUAUAAAAUAUUUAUCAAUAAAAAUUUAUAAUUUUUUAACUUGAUAUUAAUUAAAUAUGAAUUUUUUAAAUGUCAUAAACUCAAGAUAAAAACAAAGAAAAUAUAAACCUAGAAAUUGUAAAUAUGUUUGCAAGAUAAUCAUUCAAAAAUAUAUGUCACGUUCAAACACAAACUAAAAACAUUUAAAUAAUAAUUUUAUACAAAUAAUUUUUUUAUUGAGACUAAUAGUUACAUUUUAUUAGAACUAAAAAAACAUUUAACUCUAAUAAAGUAUGUACGUCGUUACCAAUAUGAUUGAGUUUAACAUUAUAAACUAGACUCUCACAAUAUAAUUAAUUUGAGUUGAGUUAAGAUAAAAAUACUUACAUUUAAUGUGUGACGCACCUCAAAUAAAAUUACUUUAUGUAAAAGAGUUUAUAAGAAACCAAAAAUAAAAAUGCUAUUUUGUAACCACCAUAUUGUCUCUUGAUUUUGUUAUAUUAACAAUGGAUGAUAAAAAAACUCUCUCAAGAGAUUUUACACUUUUGUAUUCUUAAGACCAAAUUUAAAUCCUUUAAUCCGAAAGAGACCUUACCAUAUAAUCUGGCAUACUCUUUGAGUCAUUGAUAUUUUUCUAUUUGCAAAGGAACUACACAAGGAAAAAUGCGAUUGGAAACAUGAAUCUCCUACGGGUACGUGCAAUGUGAGUAACAUAGUAUUCAAAUUUAUCAAAAAUUAUUCAAGUUUCAGCACCCGUGACUCGAACUAUAGUUAUUUUUUCACCUUCAACACGUUUUUCUUUUUCCUUUUUCUCUUUAAAAUUUAGUAGAAGAUUAAAUUAUUACUGAAUAAACAUUUGUGGGUGCCGGUCCAUUAGGGACCAACCAAAUUCAUUGCUCAUGACCCAUUGGGAUGGUAAAUGGGUCAUGUUUCAUUAUUCGUUAAUGUAAAAUAAAAAUGCAAUUGUUUACCUUUUUAUAUUUAAUACUACAUAGGAAGCAUUCAAUUUCUUACGGUGAAAAGUCAUGGUAUGCUCUUUUUGUGGAUUUCUUUUGCAUUUUUGGAGAAUCAAGAAAUAAUUAAUCGAGAAAUUGGAGAUUUAGAGUAUGUUUGCUUUAUGCUACUUCAAUGGUAAUUUUGUAAUAUAGAAAUAGUUUGACAUUAUAUUUGAGUUUUCUUGAAAAUUAAUUCCACAAAUUUAAUUUAACUUCGAAUCUAGGUUUAUCCAUAAACAAUACAAGGGAUACUUUUACAUUCUUCAUUUUCUAUUUAGAAGUAUAAAAAUUUAUGCUUUCUUUACCAUUCAAAUGUGAGAUUGUUGUUAUUUUUUCUCUCUCCCCAUCUAAUGUUAUUUAUUUUUGCCAGAAUUUUACACAGUUGUUAGACUGUUUGAGAAUAUAAUAAUCCAAUUACUCUCACAAUUUUUUGUUCAUUUAAUUUGAAAUAUAUUUUGUAAGUGUUUUUUAAUUCUGUUAUCGUUAUUUGUUUAAUUUUUUUGUGUUUGAGAUUUUUUUGUAGUAGUUACCAAAGAAAAAUAUAUAUAUUUUUUCUCGUUUAAAUUUAGUUUAAUUUUUGCUUAAGUGUUUUAAGUUAAACUUUUUUCUUCUUUUUGAUUCGGUCAUUUAAGUUACAUUUGUUUGCACUGUUAUUAAUCUUUAAGAUAAUUAAGUUACACAUGUAAUACUUUAAGUUCGAAAAUUUUCUCUAAUUACUGUAAUAAAAUGGUAAAAUCUAAUCGAAACAUUGCAAUAAGUAAGUUGAGUAUCCAAACUACUUUACAUAUGAAAGAAGUUAAAGAUAUUAAUUAUAUGAAUAAACUUUUAUUACAUUGUUUUUAAGGCUAUACAUGUAUUUAAAUUAUUGUAAAGAAAAUAAAAAAAAUAUAGACCAUUAAAAAAAUUCGAUGAAUUAUUAAUAUGAGAGACAUAUUGUUACAACAUCAAAUACAAUUUCAAAUAAUCAGAAGCUUCAAAUUAAAUUAAUUAUUAUUAAAAUUGAGAUAAAAGACUAACGAUACAAAUAAAAUAUAAUUUAAAAAUGCAAAUUGAGAUAAAACAAACUAAAAGACUUAAGUAGAGAUUGCGUUAAACUUAAAUAACUAUAUUUUCAUUUUGUUUAGUUAUUAUUAUUUAAAAAAUUAAUAUAAAUACACUAUUCACAUUAUCUUAUAAUAAAAAUAUUUUUUUUAGUAAAUACACAUUUAAAGUAAUUUUAAUUAUAUAAUCCAAACAAAUUAUAUUUUAUAAAAUGAUGUUCAAAGAAAAAAUAUUAAAACUUAAAUUAUAUUAGAGAAAGUUUAAUUUUAAUUAAAAGUACAUUUGUAAAAUUUAUUUUAUUAACAGGUACAUUUACAAAACGUUAAUAUUUUGUUUUUUAAAUAAGUUGAAUUAUAAAAACAAAACAUUGAUUCAAACUUACACAUAAUUAUAAGAAGCAUGCAACUUCUGCAUAAGUAGAAGUAAUACGAAGUAUAUGGAAACUCCUAUUUCCGCCUUAUAUAUAAUAUUUUGAUCCCUACAUAGAUUCAGCCUUAAGCUAAUAUACUUAAGCCACAUUCCUCUCGUGCCAUUUCCCAUGGGUCACAACUAUAAUCAGUUUAACUAAAUUCGGUUAUGGAAUUGCUAGUUAAUACAAAAUUAUUACACUAUAAAUGUAACAAACAGCAUAGACAUUUACCAACCCUUUCCACCCUAAACAACUUCUUUGUUCACGCCCUUAUCGUCAUUAUCACCAUCCUCAACAAAGAGAUUUUCCAUUUCUUCUAAUGUCUUACCUUUGGUUUCUGGCAUAAACACGUAAAAGAAACCAGUCGCCACCCCCAUGAUCCCCGCCAACACAAAAAAAAUUCCCCCAAACGUUAUCUUCCUCGAAAUGCUCAAAAAUGUCAUGGACACCACACCACUCACCAACCGAUUCACCGAAAUCGCAAUACUCGAACCUUGGGCUCUAAGCCUCAUAGGAAAUAUCUCUGAUGAAUACACCCAAGUUAUUGGCCCAAGCCCAAUAGAAAAAAACGAAACAUCAGCGCAAACAGCCACAAUACAAACAACAACAGCCCAAACAGGCUUCUUUAUUGAACCAUCUAGAAUCUUCGAGCCCAAACCAAGGCCAAGUAACGACACCAUCAUCCCAAACGACCCGAUCAAUAAAAGAGGCCUCCUCCCAAAUUUAUCCAAAUAAAGAGCCGAAAGCAAAACAAAAGAACUCUUCGAUAAGCCCAUGAUAACAUUAACACCAAAAAGUUUUUUCUUAUCGUGAAUCCCAGCAGCUUUAAAAACUUCCGGAGAGUAAUAUAUAACGGCGUCGUUUCCAGAUGCUUGCAUAAAGAAAUUAAUCCCAAUAGCAGAAAUCAACAUCCGUUUAACGGGCUUAGUGGGCCUUAUAAAGAGUUCCUUCCAAACACCUUGACCAUGCCAAUUUCCAGGCCCAUGGGCCGAAAGCGAAGCAUCUUUGUUUGUUAUUAUUUCUUGUAGCCUUAAUUCAGCUUCUUGAGGAGUAGUUGAGAGUGAAAGAAGAACGGUUUUGGCUUCAGAAUCUCUUCCUUUGAUAACAAGCCAACGAGGAGAUUCAGGCAUGGCUAUAACACCAACACCGAUUCCAAUUGCAGGUAAAGCCGAAAUCGCAAGCAUGAUUCUCCAACCGAGAUUUUGAGGAAGAUCCGUUAAAGCGUAAUUAACGAUGUAACCGAUGAGAAUUCCGAUUGUGAUGAAGAGUUCAGGGAGGGAAGUGAGGAAUCCACGUGUCAUUGCGGGAGAGAGUUCGGCGGCGUAGAGAGGUGAAAUCAUGAGUGCGUAACCGACGCCGAUACCGGCGACGAUUCGGCCGAUUAAGAUGAAAAGAAAGGAAGGUGCGAGAGACAUGAAGAUAGCUCCGAAUAAGAAUGUUGUUGCCGAUAAUACGAUUGUGUAGCGUCUUCCGAUUGAGUCAGAGGUUUUUCCGGCGGCUAGUGAUCCGAUAAGAGAACACACGUUGAGGCUGCCUACUAAUAUUUCUUCUUGGAGUCGUGAGAUUUUCAGGUUUUCUCUUAUUAAUAUUGCUGCACCACUCAUAAUCCCAAUAUCUACAAUACAUUAUGAUAAUAAUCAUAUUAAUUAAUAAUUCGUAGUAAGAGUUGAAUUCGAGUCCAAAAAUGAAAGAAAUAAAAAUAAAGAAGAGUGAGUGACCGUAGCCGAGGAGAAUGGAGUUAGUUGAAGCGAGAAGAGCACAGAGGAGUGUGUAUCUGUUGAGGCGAGUUGACUCCAUAUUUGCUUGUGACUCAUUAAACUCACACACUAAUUCAAUAGAACAGAUAUCAUAACAUAUUAACCAUACUUAGUACUUAUACUGCUGGAUUACACUUACCACACACUUUAAUCCAUAUUCACAUUCAUAUAAUUGAGUAAAAAAUUAGCUAAUUAUAAAUGGUUCUCCAAAACCAAAAAACUAAAUUGGGAAUCCCAUAAAUAUGAAAAACAUAAAUAAAAUUUAUUAACAUUAAUAAGCUAGACUCCAAAAAAGAUAAGGUCGUGGAAACUUACUCACUGAAUUAAAUAAGUUCAGAGCAUAGUGCUAAAUAUCGUUAUGCAUGACAAUGUUGCAUGCCAGCUGCAGUUAUCCUUUUAAUGUGGACACAAAUUUAGAAGAAGAGGAGAUUUCCAUUGCAAAAUACCUAAAUUUCGAAGAUAAAUAGCAAAAGGUGCUAAAAGAAUGAUGAAAUAAAUUUGAAUAUAGCACAUAGAGAGUAGAGCAUGAACACAGUGAAGACCACAAUGAAAAAAAUGCACUGAAGAAGAUUGAAAGCAUCAGGUGGUGACAGUUAAGAAGGACAUUUCUCCAAAAUUAAAUUAUUCAUUCGGUUUUAAAUAUAGGUAAAUGUUUAUUUUACUUAUAUUUAAAACCACAUAGAAUGGAAGUGUUCACAUUCAUAUUGAUUCCAAUAAAAACCACAGCCCGUUCUAAAAAACUAAAAAAUUACACAAAAUAACUAUUAUUUGGAUGUGUUAAGUUUUCUUUCGUAAAAAACAUUCCAAUCAAAUUGAAUUUUAGAUUCUUUUUCAACCUCUGAUAUGAUUUUUUUAAAUUAAUUAACAAAAUGGUAUUAAUUACAUUUCUUAUUCUCUCUGUCUCAUAUUAUUACCUCCAGUCUUUUGUACAAGAAAAAUCUUAGAAAAUUUAUUGGUACCAAAGGUAAAAAAAUGUUACAAAUUUCAAAGUAUAUAUAUUGUUUAAAUGCCCUUUAUACACUUUUGUUUUUAGUAAUAUAAUUAAUAUCCAUAUUAAUAGACGUGAAAACAUUUAAUGUCAAUGUUACAUUAGGAAAAAAUUCAAAGCUAACCCAUUAAAUGUCAAUGUUACUUCAUUUAUUAUUUGUCAAUCAUGUAUACCUGCAACUAUUUUAAUAAAUAAGAGUAACAUUGAAAAAAGUUACAUAUAGAUAUCAUAAAAUAACAAAUAAUUUAUAUAAAAUCAAAUAAUACGAGACGGACAAAAUAAUUCGUACAGUACUUUUAAUAUACAGAUAAACAAUAAUAAUGGAAAGAAUAAUAAUGAUUUUGUAAAUAGCUUAAGUAAGAGGACAGGGUUUGAUCCCAGAACAACAACAUAAUCUUAACUUUUGUUAAAGACUUAAGGGCAACGAAACCAUGCAAGCUCCACAGCCACACAACUCUUGUCAUGCAUGCUUUUUAAUGUCAUGAAAACAAAAGGAGCCCAAAUAAAUUCCAAACCACCCUUUUCAAGACAUACUACUUUAGAAUGAAAUAUAAACAAAAUGACAUGUAUCUUAUUAUAAUUUUUAAUCAAAUAUAUUAACUUUUCUGACACUAUUUUUACUUAUAUUUUAUUUUAGAGAGAGUACCUACCAUAUCAGCAGAUCUCUUUCAAAUGUUUCCCCAACUCAACUCUGUCCAAUGCACAUGCGGUAUUAAUGUAUCAACUGUUCCAAUGUGCCUCCAUGCAGGCUCCAAUUAGGUGUCUUACCAAGCAAAUCGAUAAAUGCAGUUUAUGUGAUGAUCUUAACACCUCUGUUAUGCUUGUGCAGUUCAAUUAUAAUUCAACCAACUUCAAUUUUUUUUUUAAUCUUUUCCGGAAUAAGAUAUUAAUAUCAUUUAAGUUGAGGCAAAAUUUAGGGACUGAUAAAAAAUAAACAAAACAAAAUGUGUCUUUCAUUGAAUCUAUGUAUUACAAUUUCCAAAACAUCACAGAAGCAAAAUACUAAGAAAGCUUUAAUCACUAUGUUUCAUGUUCGAUCAGCCUCCUCAUCAUUAUUUAUCUCUUUUUCCAUUAGAAGAAUGAAGUGUAAACCAUUGUUUCCACGGUGCAUCCUUCUUUUGUUCCAACCAUGACAGAAAAGCACUAUCCAGCAAGCAGAAAAAGUUUACAUACAGAAGCUGGUACUUCACAGGAACAUAACAAAAAUUAAAAACCUGCAAAAUUGGCCACACACCACCUUCUAAAAUCAAAGCUGGGACAUAAUUCCUCUUCAAGUCUUCCUUCACUUGAGGAAUAUUCUUGCCAGCAGACAACCCCAUGUAAGUAAAGAAGACUAACAAAUGUACAGGACCAAAAAUCAAGCCGUCCAUUGCUACUUUAGUAGCUAUGGAUCGCAUAGACUUUGACAUUAGUUGAAGCUUAAGUGUUAUAAAUUUGUCCAAGCCUUCAUACCUACAUGACAUGAAGGUUGAUUAUAAUUAUUUUUAGAAGAGCUAUUAUUCAAGCUUCUAAGUAAAAUGAACGUCCCAUUUUUCAAUCACAAAAAUCCCAAAGCAAUCAACUUGCAAGCUCUCUCAGUUCAAAACCCACCAAACCAAAAAUGAGAAGUGAACAAAGAGUUGGCAGAGGCAACAGUUACAAAUAAGAGCUAAUACCUAUGCAAUGCUGACAUUUCAAAUUGAAGGUGUAACCAACCAGUGUCUGACAUGUAUUGGUGUCCGACAUCCAUUGACACAUGUGAUUAUAUUCAAUUUCUUAUACAUUUACAAAUUAUUUUUGAUGUCGACGUGGGAGUGGUAAUGUUGUGUCCCAUAUCCGUAUAUGUGCUUCAUAGGCUAAUACACUCACUUUCAUACCAGUGGGAAGAUUUUACUUCUCUAUAACCAGGUGAAAUCCACUUGCUUCAAGUGCAUUCUUUCUGGUGUGCACUUCCAUAUCAGGAAAAAGGUACGUAGUUGCUAGCAUGACAUGGUCAGCUAGUUUAUUUAAAACCUUUUUGAUUCGCCUUCAUAAUCUAUCCAGAAUUAAAAUUCCCCAAGAAUUUUUCAUGAUUCAAAAGUUCUGUUGUUAGCAGUCAUGAUUUUAGAAAUCCUCCUAUUGAAAUCUACCAAGUUAGAACAUAAACAACAAAAUUACAGAGAGAUCUCCAAAACCUGAUACACUUGUUAACAAAUAUGACCUGAAAAAUAUGUUUAUAAGUGAGAGUAUCUCUGAUUUUACAAAUCGGUUUUAUAGAGUCUGAACCCAAAUUGUAACAUUAUAUCAGAAGCUAAUAUUGAAAUUGGAUGCAAUCUGAUGUAAACAAGUGAUGAUUUGAUAAUAAUGAAAUAGUAAAUAAAAAAAGACAUACCAGAAGUGACCAACUGGUCCAACAAAACCAAAUCCAAACAUACUUGUAACGGCCACACGUCUCCAAUCGAUAACAAAUUUAGCAUCUACUUCAUCCUGCAACAUAAAAUAUAUAAUAAUGGAUUAGAUAGGCACACCACAGAGAAAGAGAAAGAGAAAUGGUUAGUUAUGAUUCUUACAGAGACAGAUAAUCGAAGACGUUUAUUUGCAGCAGCAGAGUGAGUAAUGUAUUGAGCAGUGACAUCUCCAACAGCCCAAAGGACGCCAGAGGUAAUCACUUGCGUCUUAACUGGAUGAAUUGACAGACGAUUCUCAUACCAAUUCCAUACCUUCAACAUCAUCGUCAUCUUAUCUUAUGCACCCAAUCCAAUUUUUCUGGAUUUCGCUUUUUUCGAUAUAGCCCUAUACAAUUUUCCUUUACAUUUACAAUAAAUACCAAAUCGCUUCAAUUCACCAAAAUAAAUAAGUUACAACAUUAAGUUAUUUCAUUUUUUUUAUAAUCUUAAUAAAAAUAAUUUCUUUUAUAAAAAUUGAAAACAACUUUAUAAAAAAUUAUUCAAAAACAAUUUCUUAUAAGAAUGCUGGCGUGGCCUAAUCCACUCCACAAGUGAGGUUGUUAUUGUCUUUUUGUAAUAACAGCCUCAAAAAAGUUCCCCGAAAUCUCAUUGUGAUAAAUAUUUGUGGAUAAGAAUCUCCAAUGUAUGCCACACACACGAAACUCACUAAAAUACUAUUAACAUUUUUUCAUUAAUCACAUUACAUUGCAUCACCAUAGUUAUAGUUUAUAACAUUAACAAUUGGUUUCUAACUAUGCACACCCAACUCAAAGCUUCCUUCAACUGCUCAAUUGAGAUAGGUAAAGUACCUCUUCCUCUAUUUCUACUGAAAUGUCAUCAACUAUGCAGCUUAGAAUAUAUACUUUCUUUCUAGUUUCUAAUUAAUUUCUCCUUGCCACAGAUGCUUAAAUACUUUGUGAUAAUAGGCGCACUUAAGUCUUAUUUGGAUAAACAGCUUAAUUAAGUUUUAAUAACAUUCAGACUCAUCAUACAAAUAAUUAUGUAGAAGCUGUUUCUAUAACGAAAAAUAGUAUAAAUUUAAAUUAUUUUCAUAUAAGCUAUAAGUUGUUUCUAUAAGUUAUUUGUGAAUAAUUUAUGAGAAUAAACUGAAUACAAGUUAUAGACAUGUCAUAAGCUGUUUCCAUAAGACUCUCUCAAAAAGUCUGAGAAGUGCUUAUCCUACUAUAUAAGUUCAAAUAUGUAAAUCCAAAGAGGCUCUUAAUACUAUAUAAGUUCAGACAUGUCAUCUUGUCCAGGAUUAAUUAUGUCAUUUAUGGAUUAAUUCUGUGGAUUCCUUUUUUUAAUCAUUGUAUUAUUAGAUAAGAAAGUUGAUGAUAACAUUUUCUGGUUGAUUAUAUUUUGUAGUCUUGAUAGAAUAAUCAAGGAUGAGACAUCUCCUUAUGAUGCUAGGAAUAUAGCUAGUCUUGCAGCCAGAAUCUGAUUCUGGCCAGGGUAGAAAGGUUGUUUGCUGAGGCAUUCAGAAGCAGUCAAAUAUAGAUUUCAGAGAAUCUGAUCAAGUUUAUUCAUUGUCAUGGAUAACAGCCAGAAGGUAGCCCUCAUGAGUAAUGAAAACGCUAAAGAUUUAUCAGUCAUGGUACCGUGUUAUUUUUAACUUUUUUUUUUCUUUUCUUGUCAUUGUGACAGUAUCAGAAUAUGAUCUUUUUUGCAUUAGGCAUUUAGAUGUGACUUGUAAUAGUCCCUAUGAUAUUGAGCAUUUAGAAAAUCAUCAAUGUUGCAUUAGGCAAGAGGCAUCUCUCUCUUAUAAACGCUUUUUCAGGUCAUAUCUCAUCUAACGCAUGAUUCUCAACAUACAUAUCAUUCAUCUAUGACAAUGAUUGGCAUCAGGUUCUUUCAAGAACUUUAGGAUGAUCUCAAUCUAAAUGCUCUAUGGUGCUAGAAUAGUUUGAGGUUAUCUAAAUAUAUAUAGUCAUCAAGUGUAGAUAUUGAAAUAUUAUCAUCACUGAAUGGUUGCAAGCUAUUUGGAAUUUCUAAUGACUGCAUAAUUAUCCACAUCUUAGGGAUGAAAAAUUCAGUUACUCUAAGUGAUGUCCUAAAAAUUUAUUUGAUCAUCGAUUUAUGCUUUGGACUCCAAAGAUAAUCAUCAAAAUCUGUUAAAACAUUUCCUAUAGUUUUUCAUUUUUUGGCAAUUUUGAUACAGGAGCUGAGGCAGUACAAGAACAAUCAAUCAAAAUCAAGCUCUACUCCAGAAGAAACAUGCGAUCAAUCGCGCUGUCUUAUCUGUACGGAGAACAACAGUUGUAAAACAGUUUAUUCAAGAACCAAACUAAUGGGUACUUUGAUUGGAAGAGGAAAACCGCAAGAAGCCGAGACCAUCUUCAACAGUUUGACCGAAGAAGGACAUAGGCCAACUAUUAUAACAUACACUACUCUUGUGGCUGCGUUAACGCGUCUAAAGCGUUUCAAGUCUAUUCCUUCACUUCUUUCUAAAGUUGAAGAGAAUGGAACGAAGCCAGAUUCAAUACUUUUCAAUGCCAUGAUCAAUGCGUUUUGUGAUUCUGGUAAGGUACAUGAAGCGAUGAAAAUCUUUCGGAAAAUGAAGGAGUGUGGAUGCAAACCAACAACUAGUACUUUCAAUACUCUCAUUAAAGGAUUUGGAGUUGUUGGAAGGCCUAAUGAAGCAAUGAAACUGCUACAAAUGAUGUGUCAAGAUGGAAAUGUGAAACCAAAUGAGAGAACAUAUAAUAUUCUCAUCCAAGCUUGGUGUACCAAGAAGAAAUUGGAAGAAGCAUGGAAUGUUAUGCAUAAAAUGGUUGACUCCGGCCUGCAGCCAGAUGUUGUCACGUACAACACACUUGCAAGAGCAUAUGCUCAGAAUGGUGAGACAUAUAAUGCUGAAAGGUUAAUAUUGAAAAUGCAGCAGUAUAACAAAGUGAAGCCUAACGAACGAACUUGCGGUAUCAUCAUAAGCGGUUAUUGUAAGGAAGGUAACAUGACAGAAGCCUUGAGAUAUCUCUACAAAAUGAAGGAGCUUGGAGUGCAUCCAAAUCCUGUAGUUUUCAACUCACUUAUCAAAGGAUAUUUAGACAUUACAGAUACAGAUGGAGUAGAUGAGGUAAUUUCUGAUAUCUCAUACUUAUCAUAAGAUCAAUAGUUCCUUGUAUGCAUUUUUAAUCUAAUAGUCUCUUGCAAAAUUGUUCUUCAAUACUUGUAUCCUAUUGGCCUUUAAUUAUUCAGUAUCAUGUAUUGUGAUAAAAAUAGUAACUUAGAAAUGAAAUUUGAUCAGGCAUUGACAUUGAUGGAAGAAUUUGGGAUCAAACCAGAUGUAGUGACAUAUAGCACCAUCAUGAAUGCAUGGAGUUCAUCAGGACUUAUGGACAAUUGUGAGGAGAUAUUCGAUGACAUGGUGAAAGCUGGGAUAGAACCCGACAUCCACGCUUACAGCAUCCUUGCGAAAGGCUACGUACGUGCCGGGCAGACAGGUAAAGCAGAGGCUCUUCUGACUUCAAUGACCAAAUACGGUUUACAACCAAAUGUUGUGAUCUUCACUACCAUAAUCAGUGGAUGGUGUGCCGCUGGCAAAAUGGAUCGCGCGUUUAGACUUUAUGAGAAAAUGCAAGAAAUUGGAACUCAGUCGAAUUUGAAAACUUAUGAAACUUUAAUAUGGGGGUAUGGAGAAGCAAAACAACCGUGGAAAGCAGAAGAGUUACUUGUUACCAUGGAACAAAGUGGCAUAGCUCCUGAAACGUCCACUAUCCAGUUGGUCGCUGACGCUUGGCGUGCCAUUGGUUUGUUGAAAGAAGCCAACAGAAUUCUAAAUGGUUCAGAGGAAGAAUCUGAUCUAGAUGAAAAUUUUGAUAGUGACGAGAUACCUGUGCAGAACUUGGAGAGAAUUGAUAAGAAACAAAAACUUGGUGCUUCUUCUCUGUCUAAUCUACUGCAAAUGCCUGAUAUAGUGGUAGCUCAUCCAGAAAGAACCUCUAAUGGAAACAUAAAAAGCCAAAUGAUAGUCAAAGCAUGUGACACUAUGCGAAACGCUACCACUUCCAUUGUUUUUGCUCGUACAAAAUUGUACGCAGUACAGCCAUUGAUUAUAAGUAGGCAUAAAAUUCAACAUCAGAUUAUUAGGCCUUUCUUUGAGUGUUGCAGAUUAGUGUCAAUACAUUGUUGAGAUUAUUUUUCUGGUGUGGUUAUCUCAUAUUGAUUUGUGAUGAAACACAAAAUCAUAUUUGAAUAUAUAUUUUUUGCUUCCAUGACAAUGAAUUCUGUUCUGAUAGAGAAACUGUAGAUUUUAUUCAAGGACUUCAGAAAUCAGAACAUACACUUACAGUUAUGCCUAAAUUAUGGUGUAAAUUAUGUUUGUGGACUGAUGCUCCUUCUAUUCACUUGUCAAUGAAAUGCACAAGAUGGAUGACUAUAGAUAGAAUUGUUUGAUUUGUGUUGCUGUUAAUGCAUAUAGUUGAUAAAUCUGACUUUUGUCAAGGAAAAACACUGACUUUUAAGUUAAGGGGUGCUACUCUAUAAUUUUUUUUAAAAACUCUAUCAAUUUUCAAAGUGCGACUUGAAUUUUUUUCAAUAAACAUAAAACUAUUUCAGUCAAAUCUAAUCACACUUCAUAUGAGUAGUUAGGAGGCCAACCUUCAUGGUGAGAGGUGCAACAUCUUUUUUGAUGUAUACAUGCAUCCGAUGUUAUGCUAAACUUAAUUUUGAGGGUAGAAUAUUAGUACAUUUGAAUUUAAAAAAAGUGGCUAGACUUGAGACCUAACCAUCUUUGUACACAGCUCAAUCCUAGGCUAAUUUAAAAUUUAUCAUCAUAUUAAUUUAAAAUUGCUUAUUAUUUUAUUGAUAUAUUUUGAAAUUAAUGUUGUUUAAUAAAAAUGCAAGAAAAAUUAAUACCAAUUCAUUAAAUAUCUAAAUGAAUAUCUACAUGUUAUGAUAUGAUUAGAUGACCAUGUAGUUGUUUUUUUUAAUACUAUUUGUGUAUAAUCAUUAAAAUUAUUUUCUUCAUGUAAUAAAAAGUUCAUUCUCUAAAAUAUUUUUGAUGAGAACUUACUUGACUUUAAGAAAAAGAUAAUUAAAAUAUGAAAUUCUAAAUUAAUUGAAUCGUACUUUUAUCAUAAUAUUAUUAAAUUAAAAUAAGUACAAUUAGUUAAAGUUUAUUUAUUUUUUUAAUAUUUAAGACAACUUUUUAAGGGUUGUUGUCAAGACAUAUGAAAAAGAACAUUAAUAAAAUGUGUUUAAGAUUUUAAACGUUGUGUCAAAGAUUAAAAAAAAUAAUCAUAUUAUUUUUUGAAAAAAUUUAUUAUUGAUUUAAAACUAUUUUACACCAAAACUUAUUUUGUAAAAUAAUUUAAAAAAUAACCGUAAAAACAAAGGAACACCAUAUUUGGUGUCUAAUUUUAUUUUUCAAAGAUCAUUUCCUAAAGAAAAUAAAUGGAAUGAAAAAAUAAAUAUUUUAAAAAGUAAAUAGAAAUAAACAAACUUGAGAAACAAGAAAGAAAAAAGACAAAUACAUCGAAAAACUUACCGAACAGACAAAAGGUAAUCUUGACCGUACAUAUAUAAAUGAUAAUGAGUUUUAUUUAAAUUUGUAUAUGUUAGUUUUAUCUGAAAGUGAUUCGAGAAUUGAAUUGAAGCUUGAAAGUUGAAAGUUGAAACUGAAGUGAAGUGAAGAGAACAUAGUGAGUGACACUCUAAGAAUAAGAAAGAUAUGCCAUCAUUCUCUAUCUUCCCAUCAAUUCAAACCCCUAAUUUAGACCAACCUCAUCUCUUCAAUUCCAUCAAAUUCCCCAAUUUCCGUUUCAAUUCAACACUCUCUCCACCACCACAACACUCUCUCCCCAACUUCCCCCAACUCUACAUAACCUCCACCACUCUUCGCCGUAGAAAUAAUAUCCACUUCAGAAAAGCUUUUAAAGAUUCCGGUGGUGGUGCUGGUGGUGGUGGCGGCGGAGAUGGUGGUGGAGGUGACCCUGAUGUGGACAAAAAGACUAAUGGACCUUUUCCAGAUUGGUUGAAUUUCACUUCUGAUGAUGCCAAAACGGUUUUUGCUGCUCUUGCUAUAUCGCUUGCAUUUCGUACGUUUAUUGCUGAGCCUAGGUACAUUCCUUCCUUGUCCAUGUAUCCUACCUAUGAUGUUGGAGAUAGAAUUGUUGCUGAAAAGGUACUCUCUUUUUUCUUCCUAUGCUUUUUCAUCUCAACAAAAUAUAUUAUAGGGUCUCAAUGAAAUAAGCUAAAAGCAACUUAUAGACAUGUCAUAAGCUAAGUUCUCUCAAAUGGUUUCUAGGGUGUUUAUGCCAGUAGAAAAGCUCAAAUGAGCUAAUCCAAUCAGACCAAACUCUAUUAUGAUGCAUCUCUAGGUAGAUUGUAGGUGCUUCUUCGUAUGAAAACUUUAGCUAUUUGUUGAAAGAUGGUUAUACUUCUAUGUUCAGUGCUCUUCUAUAACAUUCACAGGUUUAGAGAGCAGAGGGCUGAGAAUCAAUUAACAGCAGUUUAUUCAAAUGGUUAAGUUUAUGAUGUUUGUGUGAGAAUUAGUGAUUCUAAUGUUGAUUCAGGACAUAUAUAAUUUUCCAAGUUUGUGGUGCAUUGUAGAUUUUAGUUCAUAGUAAUUCAUUGGGUACUAAUUUGAUAAAAUCAAGCUUUUUAUACAUAAUCAGAAAAUUCUUAGUUCCUUUUGUUGAAGCAUUUUAAUUCCUGUCUUAGUUCUUGACUGAUAAUAGUCUCAGUUGGUCAUGAGAGUUGUUAUUGUAUAACUCAAUACUCGACUACUCACGGGAUAGAAUCAUGUAAAUACAUGGCAAUGCCCUUCUAAUAGACUUCACAUCAAAUUUCAACUAGACUUUUUGUUACGAUGCAUCUCUUAGUAAUGAUACAUCUUCAUGUUUUCAGGUUUCAUACUAUUUUAGAAAGCCGUGUGCAAAUGAUAUUGUGAUAUUUAAAAGCCCUCCAGUUCUUCAAGAAGUUGGAUACACCGAUGAUGAUGUUUUCAUAAAACGUGUGGUUGCAAAGGAAGGUGAUAUCGUAGAGGUAGGAUCUUUGGUGAUGAACAUUCAUGCCCUUGUUUUAUGAUGUUGUCUUUUAAUUUUUUGAUUAAUUCCUUGUUGAGCUAAUGUGAUUGUGCAAUGUUGUGUUUCAUGAUUACAACAAAUGCUCAUAAUAAUGUCUUGUCAUUAGCUUUCGUUUGUCAAUGUCUUAGUUUUCCUCUUACUUGAUUAUCGUUUUCGGUGGAAGGUUAAUCUGUUUUGAGGUUUGGCUAACUGACUAGUGAUCACUGUUUUUUUGCUUGUAUUUGAAACUUUGAAAUUUUCAUGAAUGUAGAAUAUUGCAUCAGUAUUCAGUUAUAACUUCAGUCAGAUUCUCGCUCUGUUUGAUUCUGUGUCUUAAAUGUGAGCAAUUGAAUUAUUUGCAGGUUCGUAAAGGGCAUCUUGUAGUUAAUGGGGUUGAGAGGGAUGAGAAGUUUAUCAAUGAACCACCAAAUUACGAGAUGAAACCCACAGUAAGUUCUACCAUGUUUUAGUCAUCAAGGAUCUGCUUAACUAUGGUUUUAAAAUUAAGAAUAACAUAUGCAUAUAAUUAAUAAUUUAAAACAAAAUAACUUGAAUAAAAAACCACGCAUCAUUCUUUGAGAGAAUAGCCUAAAAGAUGAAGUUAUCUCAAGAAAGUAUAAUCUAAGUUAAUAUACUGUGGUGGAUGAGACCUAAACAUAGAUUAUGAAGAUAAUCUGGGUCAGGUAUUUGAGGGUUGUUCUUCCUAUAUGUUGUCUUCGGCUAGUUGUGUUUGAGGCACGUCUUCAGCUAAUUUUGUUUUGGGAUUGGAUCAUUUCUGCCACUGUACAAAAGUUCAUAACCAGUUGGUUUCGUAUCUAGUUUAAUAAUAUUAUUUGCUUUGCAGCGUGUGCCAGAGAACUACGUUUUCGUGAUGGGAGACAACCGCAAUAACAGCUAUGACUCCCACGUGUGGUAAUAUGUUUAAGGAUUAUAUGCAUUAUGUACACUAUUCUUAUAUCUGAGUUAUUUCCUGACGUGUUAGAUGCAAUUUACUUAGGGGUCCCCUGCCAGCCAAGAAUAUCAUAGGUAGAUCAGUAUUCCGCUAUUGGCCACCGAAUAGAAUUGCCGGAACAAUUGCUAAGGAAGGGUGCGCUGUUGAAACCAAGCCAGAGACUACUACUCUUGCAUCUCAAUGAUGAAGGCAGCAACUUUUUGACAUUUAUAUAAUGUUAAUUUUUGUCAAGCUUCAUUUUACUGUUCAUUAUGUACAACAGUUAGUGGGAAAAACGUUUUUAUGCUCCUUCCCAUCAUUCAUCGGGUCGGCUCGUGUAGUUGCCGACCACCCUUUUGUAACAAGAUAUUGAAUCCAAACAUUAGCUAGACACAUUAAAGAAAUGAUGGAAUUCUAUAUUCUGAUUUUGUAUUAACAUCGUAUUUACAUCUGGUUAAUUAGAAAAUUGGAUGAAUUUUUGCAGUAUGUGGCAGUUGUACUCUUUAAGCAACUUUCCCAAUCCUAUUAACUAUAUGAAACAGACCAAAAUAUUAUAUGCUAGGCUUUUGGUUCUUUUCAGUGACACAAUAUUGUCUAUAUGGUUGGAGAUUCACCAAAAUCAUAUCUGCUACUUUAAAGUGCAUGUUCACCCUCUUUCUAUCUGUCUUGGUUUUGUAUAUAGAUAAUUUUACCCUGUCUUGUUGCGCCUUGCAAUGUGAAUAGCUGCUGCCAAAAAGCACUAGUCAAUAUUUUAUCUCUGUCUAAAACAACGAAUUCUGCAAUACAUGUAGUUUGGCAACGUUGUGCAUAGAAACUUCAAUGACUUACCUAAGAGGAUAAGAUGGGUAAUGUCUCUUUCAACUUAAUCAAAAGUCUUGAGUUUAAACCCAACAAUGAAAAUGAAACAGUAUUGAAUAGUUGAAGGAUAGUUUUGCACUAAUUUUGGUCUUAUCCAGCGCAAGAAAUAAUAUCCGAUUCACCCCAAAAAAACUUCAACUUGCUCGUAAAAUAAGUUUAGAGAAUAUAUGUUUAAUAUGCUAUGAAAUAUGUAAUAAAUUUGAAUCCUCUCCUUUUCUCUAUCAUGUUAGAUGAGACAUAUAGACAAACAUUGCAUACCAAGUAAAAUCUUUUUUAUUAAAUUUGUUAUUAUGUUUAUUAGCAGAUUUUAUAUAAAUCCAUUCUUGUUAUUCUAAUAAGAAUACAAUUCAUACAAUAAAAAAUAAUUUCGGCAUUUAAUGCAUUUGUAUUAUACACAAUUUACAAUUAUACAACUCACAAUUGUAUCGGAUGAAUAAUUACAUAUUUAUGAUCAUAUUACAUUACCCUUUACAUUUAAAAAUAACAUUUGAAAAAGAAGGUAUAUUGUAGUCAUCCUCCAAAGUCAGAUAGUGCAGUUUUCUUGUUUAAUCUUGUAUCGCUUGGCCAGAUUCAAAAUUCACUUAGCAAGUAGUCAAAAGGAUAUUCAGCUUAGAAACUACUGAGAUGAUCAUAUUUUAUGUAGCCAAUAGUCCAUCCUAUCUCAAGACCAAAAUUCAAUGUAGUUUGAAGCCUGCAAGUUAGUGACAUCAAUUGGAAAUUUUGUCACUUAAGAAAAGUAAUUUUUAGUCAAAACAUAAGGAACCAAAACAAUUUUUACUCAACACAGUUUUUCAACUUGUUGAUCAACAAUAAUAGACAAAGGGAAUUUGCAGAAACGAAAGGGAAUCCAUAAAAUCAUUCCAAACAUACAAUAAAAUUUGAACACAUGACAAAUAACACAUGAAAGAUUGUCUCAGACAUCCAAGGAAGGAUAAAGCAGCAUUAACUCUCAAGCCUGGCGAAGGCGAAAGUUCUUAGGCGGCCACUGCGAAUGUUUUGAGAAACAAGCCUUUGGAUUUAUCAUCAUUGAGCAAUUUAUAAAUUAACAACUAACAUCAAACAAGUGCAGGAAAAUUACACAUUAAAUAUAGCUACUCCAAUUUUGUAGUUUAAGCACACCUAUGAACAUUCAAACAUUCAAUAAGCUAUGAUAAUAACAGACUUUAGUUCAAAUAGACUGUUUAGAACAUAAUAAUGAUAAAAUAGAUUCAUCAAUUCGUCUCAGACAUCCAAGGAAUGAUAAAACAGCAUUAGCUCUCAAGCCUGGCGUAGGCGAAAGCUCUUGGGCGGCCACUGCGAAUGUUUUGAGAAACAAGCCUUAAAGAUAUCAUCACAGACGACAAUUAAUCAAAGAUAUAUCAAACACUACAACAUGAAACUGAUGAAAUAUUGCACUUAAAAAUGGGAAAUUAACAAGGAACUAUCAACCAGCAGCUGAAGUGCUUAAGUUCUAACGAACUGCUUUAUAAUCGAAGAAAACAGAUAAAAACUUUAAUCAAUUUUGAAAAACACAAACCAAAAUACAUGACACAAAAACAGUUCACAAAACCAAACUAUGUUUGCUAGUUUACAUGAAGGAGUCAUCAGAUAGGAGCGAAAGACUAAAAAUUUGUAUAAUCACAAAUAGAUCAGUUGAACUAUGCAUAUGAUCAUCAUAUGACCCUCCAAUGAUAACAAGAAUAUUUAGGGUCAAUCUCAAGGAGCAUAAAUAAAAAAAAUAAUAAACAAAAUGAAUAAAAAUAAAAAACCUCAGAAGGAAGGCAGUAUAGGUAUAGUAAUCAGCAAAGAUCAUACUUUACAUAUUUUCCCUUGAUUUCAUCAUUGGAACAACAGUGCAAACUAUUAAAAAACAACCUGAGAAGACAAAAUUCAACCUUAGAAAAAGAGAGAAACAAACGGCCUCAUAGAGAAGAUUAGUUUUUUCAACAUAAAUAAAUUCGGACAUAUGCUUGUCUUAAUUUAUUUUAUAAUCAUUGGCAAUUUGAGAAAAGAUACAUUACAAGCAAAGAACUGUAAAAUAUCAUAAGCAGAAAAUCAAAAU
rnacentral:lncRNA from 1 species